rnacentral:lncRNA from 1 species
ACUUGGGGAUCUAACCUUCUUAUAUAGAUGUUGCCCCUGCGUGGUAAGGGGCUUAUUUGUAAAACAUUAUUAUGGACCAUUGACAUUCGCUUGGCGCAUGGAAAUCGAGGCGACGAUAGGAAGGAAUCAUAAAGGCAGGCUCAAACCAGACUGUCAUCAAUUCGGUGUAUGAUGAAGAACCCGCCUUGCAAAGCUAAAGACAUAAGCUGGAUACUACAUUGUCAUUGAAGGCAAGUUCGGAGGCUACUGAGGGAGUCCUAGAUUAGGGGGUCCUCAGGUCUCUGGUCUAUUCGAUAUGGGCCAGACUGAUGGGUCGUGAAGACGAGGCAGAAUAUCACCUCCCAUGUCUGGGUAGGACUCCUAUGUGCGUAGAACGACAAGUUUAGUGUCCGGGUGUAAUACUUCCUUCCUUUGUGAACCGACUCUGUACAACCCUAGGCCCCUAUGCUGUGUAUAUAAACCAGAGGGUUUAGUCCGCAGAGGGCAUCAGAAUAAUCAUAGGAUAGACGGCUAGGGUUUAGCCAUUACGAUCUCGAGGUAUAUCAACUCUUUUAACCUCUAUAAUCAUCAAAUACAAUCAAGCAGGACGUCGGGUUUUACCUCCUUUAAGAGGGCCCGAACCUGGGUAAAACCGUGUUCCUAUUGUCGUUGUUGCCAUUGAUCCUAAGACUCAUAGCUAGGGCCACCAUACCCGAGAUCUGCCGGUUUUGACACCGACAGCGCCCUCCACCCUUGUGAUUGGCUCGGGACUCUUCUGGCCCAACUCUUUUGCUUCAGGGGCUUCUUCUGGUCCAUAAAAAAUCAUCGUAAAUUUUCAGCUCGUUUGGACUCCGUUUGAUAUUCCUUUUGUGUAUAACUCAAAAACAUGAAAAAAAACCAGAAACUGGCACUAGGCUCUAGGUUAAUAGGUUAGUCCCAAAAAUCAUAUAAAAUAUCAUGAACAAUAAAAAUUAUAUAUACGUUGGAGACAUAUCAAGCAUCCCCAAGCUUAAUUCCUGCUCGUCCUCGAGUAGGUAAAUGAUAAAAACAGAAUUUUGGAUGUGGAAUGCUACCUAACAUAUUUAUCCAUGUAAUUUUCUUUAUUGUGGCAUGAAUGUUCAGAUCCAUAAGAUUCAAAACAAAAGUUUAAUAUUGACAUAAAAACAAUAAUACUUCAAGCAUACUAAUAAAGCAAUCAUGUCUUCUCAAAAUAACAUGGCUAAAGAAAGUUAUCCCUACAAAAUCAUAUAGUCUGGCUAUGCUCCAUCUUCAUCACAAAAAAUAUUCAAAUCAUGCACAACCCUGAUGACAAGCCAAGCAAUUGUUUCAUACUUUUGAUGUUCUCAAACUUUUUCAACUUUCAUGCAAUACAUGAGUGUGAGCCAUGGAUAUAGCACUAUAGGUGGAAUAGAAUAUGGUGGUUGUGGAGAAGACAAAAAGAAGGAGAUAGUCUCACAUCAACUAGGCAUAUCAACGGGCUAUGGAUAUGCCCAUCAAUAUAUAUCAAUGUGAGUGCCUAGGUAUUGCCAUGCAACAGAUGCACUAGAGCUAUAAGUUUAUGAAAGCUCAAAAAGAAACUAAGUGGGUGUGCAUCCAACUCGCUUGCUCACGAAUACCUAGGGCAAUUUGAGGAAGCCCGUCAUUGGAAUAUACAAGCCAAGUUCUAUAAUGAAAAUUUCCCACUAGUAUACGAAAGUGACAACAUAGGAGACUCUCUAUCAUGAAGAUCAUAGUGCUACUUUGAAGCACAAGUGUGGUAAAAGGAUAGUAGCAUUGCCCCUUCUCUCUUUUUCUCUCAUUUUUUGGGCCCUCUCUUUUUUUGGCCUCUUUUUCGUCUAGAGUCUCAUCCCGACUUGUGGGGGAAUCAUAGUCUCCAUCAUCCUUUCCUCAUUGGGAAAAUGCACUAAUAACGAAGAUCCUCACACUUUUAUUUACUUACAACUCAAGAAUUACAACUCGAUACUAGAACAAAGAUAUGACUAUAUAUGAGUGCCUCCAGCGGUGUACCGGGAUGUGCAACGAAUCAAGAGUGACAUGCAUGAAAGAAUUAUGAAUGGUGGCUUUGCCACAAAUACGAUGUCAACUACAUGAUCAUGCAAAGCAAUAUGACAAUGACGAAGCAUGUCAUAAUAAAUUGAAUGGUGGAAAUUUGCAUGGCAAUAUAUCUCGGAAUGGCUGUUUUGAGAAAGGGUAUAUGGUAGGUUUAGUGCACCGGCGAAAGUUGUGCGGCACUAGAGAGGCUAGCAAUGGUGGAAGGGUGAGAGUGCGUAUAAUCCAUGGACUCAACAUUAGUCAUAAAGAACUCACAUACUUAUUGCAAAAAUCUAUUAGUUAUGGAAACGAAGUACUACACGCAUGAUCCUAGGGGAUAAAUUGGUAUGAAAAGACCAUCGCUCAUCCCCGUCCUCCACUCAUAAGGAAGACAUUCAAUAAAUAAAUCAUGCUCAUCAUAUAACGGUUCACCAUAUGUGCAUGCUACAAGAAUCACAAAAUUUAACACAAGUAUUUCUACAAUACACAAUUACUCACUAGCAUGACUCUAAUAUCACCAUCUUUAUAUCUCAAAACAAUCAUACGGAAUCAAACUUCUCAUAGUAUUCAAUGAACUUAAUAUGAAAAUUACCAUAUUAGGACUAAAUUUAUAACCAAAGAAAAUUACCAUGCUAUUUAAAGACUCUCAAAAUAAUAUAAUUGAAGCAUGAGAGUUCAUCAAUUUCUACAAAAUAAAACCACCGCCAUGCUCUAAAAAGAUAUAAGUGAAGCACUGGAGCAAAUGACAAACUACUCCAAAAGAUACAAGUGAAGAUCAAUGAUUAGUCAAAUAAUUAUGUAACUAUGUGAAGACUCUCUAACAUUUAAGAAUUUCAGAUCUUAAUAUUUUAUUCGAAAAAUAGAAAGAAAAAUAAAAUAAAAUGACAUUGCAAGGAUAGCACAUAUCAUGUGAAGAAGCAAAAACUUAGGCUCAACCAAAACUGACCGAUAGUUGUUGAAGAAGAAAGGUGGGAAGCCUACCGGGGCAUCCCCAAGCUUAUAUGCUUGAGACUUCUUGGAAUAUUAACUAGGUAAGCCUUGGGAAUCCCCAAGCUUGAUCUUUUGUGUCUCCUUAAUUCCUCUCAUAUCACUGUUUCCCUAAUUCUUCAAAACUUUCAUCCACACAAAACUCAACAAGAACUCGUGAGAUAAGUUAGUAUAAAUCCAUGCUAAACCUUAUCAUUCUCUACUAUAUAAAAUCACUAAAAUUAUAAUUUGACAUUGCAUACUAAAUGCCUCUGCAUAUUUAACACUCCUAUCCUCAAAUAGAAUCAUUAAACAAUCAAACAUAUGCAAACAAUGCAAUCAUAACAGUAAUCUGUCAAAACAGGAACGUCUAUAAAGAAUGCAUGAGGAAUCAUACUUAUUUAACUCCAAAAAUUAUAAAAACUUACCAAACUGUAGAUAUUGUUGUUAAUCAUCGUGAAAAAAAUUCAAGAUUUUAUCAUGUUCUUACUAUUCACCAAUAUUCAAAACAUAACAGCAAACUUUCUGUUUUCAAACAGCAACAUAUAGACUUGCAAAAUAAGCAUGGUAAAGGCUAUACUUGACCUUUUUAUUGAAAUAAAAGAUAAAAAAUAUUACUCUAAAUAAAAGCAAGCAAAUCAUAAUAAAAGAAGAUGAUGCUCCAAGAAAAACACAUAUCACGUGGUGAAUAAAAAUAUUGCUCCAAGUAAGGUUACCGAUGAUCGAAGACGAAAGAGGGGAUGCCAUCCGGGGCAUCCCCAAGCUUAGUUGCUUGGGUAUUCCUUGAAUAUUACCUUGUGGUGCGUUGGGCAUCCCCAAGCUUAGGAUCUUCCCACUCCUUAUUCCGUAGUCCAUCAAAACUUAACCCAAAACUUGAAAACUUCACAACACAAAACUCAACAGAAAACUCAUAAGCUCCAUUAGUAUAAGAAAAUAAAUCACCACUUAGGUACUGUUGUGAACUCAUUCUAAAUUUAUACUGGUGUAAUAUCUACUGUAUUCUAACUUAUCCAUGAUUCAUAUCCUCCGAUACUACUCAUAGAUUCAUCAAAAUAAGCAAACAACACAUAGAAAACAGAAUCUGUCAAAAAUAGAAUAGUCUGUAGUAAUGUGUAGCUCUCGAAUACUUAUGUAACUCCAAAAAUUCUACAAAAUUAGGAAAACCUAAGAAAUUUGUUUCUUAAUCUUCUUCUAAAAUAAUCAGUAUUUUAUCAUGCUUCUUCUAAAUAUGAGAAUUGUUUCCCUAAGGGUAAAAGUUUCUGUUUUUAGCAACAUCAAGUCAACUAUCACCGUAAGCCAUCCCAAAGGUCUUACUUGGCACUUUGUUGAAACAAAAGCUAUAAAACAUGAUUAAUACAAUAUCAUAAUCAUGUGAACACACAAAAAAAGUAGGUAUAAAAUUGGGUUGUCUCCCAACAAGCGUUUUUCUUUAAUGCCUUUUAGCUAGGAAUCAUGAUUUCAAUGAUGCUCACAUAAAGGAUAAGAUUUGAAACACAGAUAGAGCAUCAUGAAGCAUAUGGCUAGGACAUUUAAGUCUAACCCACUUCCUAUGCAUAGGGAUUUUGUGAGCAAACAAUUUAUGAGAGCUAGAAUCAACUAGCAUAGGAAGGUAAAACAAGCAUAACUUCAAGAUUUUCAACACAUAGAGGAAACUUGAUAUUAUCGCAACUCCUACAAGCAUAUAUUCCUCCCUCAUAAUAAUUUUCAGUAGAAUCAUGAAUGAAUUCAACAAUAUAAGUAUCACAUAAAGAAUUCUUUUCAUAAUGCAUAAGCAUAGAAAUUUUAUUACUCUCCACAUAAGCAAAAUUCUUCUCAUUCAAAAUAGUGGGAGCAAAGUCAGCAAAAUAACUAUCAUGUGAGGCAUAAUCCAAUUGAAAAUUAAAAUCAAGAUGACAAGUUUCAUGGUUAUCAUUAUUCUUUAUAGCAUACAUGUCAUUACAAUAAUCAUCAUAGAUAGCAACUUUGUUCUCAUAAUCAAUUGGAACCUCUUCUGAAAUAGUGGAUUCAUCACUAAAUAAAGUCAUGACAUCUCCAAAUCCACUUUCAUAAUUAUCACAAUAAGAUUCAACACAAUCCAAAAUAGUGGGAUCAUUACUUCCUAAGUUGACACUCUUCCAAACCCACUUUCAUCAAUAUAAUCAUCAUAAAUAGGAGGCAUGCUAUCAUCAUAACAAAUUUGCUCAUCAAAACUUGGGGGACUAAAAAUAUCCUCUUCAUCAACCAUAGCAUCCCCAAGCUUGUAGCUUUGCAUAUCAUUAGCAUCAUGGAUAUUCAAGGAAUUCAUACUAACAACAUUGCAAUCAUGAUCAUCAUUCAAAUAUUUAGUGCCAAACAUUUUAAUGCAUUCUUCUUCUAACACUUUGGCACAAUUAUCAGAAUCCUCAUUUUCACGAAAGACAUUAAAAAGAUGAGGCAUAUGAGGCAACCUCAAUUCCAUUUUUAGUUUUCUUUUAUAGACUAAACUAGUGAUAAAACAAGAAACUAAAAGAUCCGAUUACAAGAUCUAAAAAUAUACUUUCAAGCACUAACCUCCCAGGCAACUGCGCCAGAAAAGAGCUUCAUUGACGGGAGGUGAGUGCCCCUUACCUAGCCCCCCCCGGCAAAGGCACCAGAAAAGAGCUUGAUGUCUACUACACAACUUUGUCCUGGUAGAUGUUGUUGGGCCUCCAAGUGCAGAGUUUUGUAGAACAGUAGAAAAUUUCCCUCAAGUGGAUGACCUAAUGUUUAUCAAUCCAUGGGAGGCAUAGGAUGAAGGUGGUCUCUCUCAAACAACGCUGCAACCAAAUAACAAUGAGUCUCUUGUGUCCCCAACACACCCAAUACAAUGGUAAAUUGUAUAGGUGCACUAGUUCGGCGAAGAGAUGGUGAUACAAGUGCAAUAUGGAUGGUAGAUAUAGUUUUUUUAAUCUGAAAAUAUAAAAAACAACAAGGUAACAAGUGGUAAAAGUUAGCGAAAACGGUAUUGCAAUGCUUGGAAACAAGGCCUAGGGUUCGUACUUUCACUAGUGCAAGUUCUGUCAACAAUGAUAACAUAAAUAGAUCAUGUAACAAUCCUUCAACAUGCAACAAAGGGUCACUCCAAAGUCACUAAUAGCAGAGAAUAAACGACGAGAUUAUUGUAGGGUAUGAAUCCACCUCAAAGUUAUUCUUUCUGAUCGAUCUAUUGGGCUAUUCCUAUAAGUGUCACAAACAGCCCUAGAGUUCGUACUAAAAUAACACCUUAAGACACACAUCAACCAAAACUCGAAUGUCACCUAGAUACUCCAAUGUCACCACAAGUAUCCGCGGGUUUGAUUAUACGAUAUGCAUCACACAAUCUCAGAUUCAUCUAUUCAAACCAACACAAAGAACUUCAAAGAGUGCCCCAAAUUUUCUACCGGAGAGCCAAGACGAAAACGUGUGCCAACCCCUAUGCAUAAGUUCACAAGGUCACAGAACCCGCAAGUUGAUCACCAAAACAUACAUCAAGUAGAUCACGUGAAUAUCCCAUUGUCACCACAAAUAAGCACAUGCAAGACAUACAUCAAGUGUUCUCAAAUCCUUAAAGACUCAAUCCGAUAAGACAACUUCAAAGGGAAAACUCAAUCCAUUACAAUAAGGUAGAGGAGGAAAACAUCAUAAGAUCCAACUAUAAUAGCAAAGCUCGCGGUACAUCAAGAUCGUGCCAAAUCAAGAACAAGAGAGAGAGAGAAAGAGAGAGAGAGAGAGAGAGAGAGAGAAAUCAAACACAUAGCUACUGGUACAUACCCUCAGCCCCGAGGGUGAACUACUCCCUCCUCAUCAUGGAGAGCGCCGGGAUGAUGAAGAUGGCCACUGGUGAUGGUUUCCCCCUCCGGUAGGGUGCCGGAACGGACUCUCAAUUGGUUUUUUGUGGCUACAGUGGCUUGUGGUGGCAGAACUAUCAAUCUAGAUUUCUUUUCGGGGAUUUCUGUAUUUAUAGGAAUUUUCGGCGUCGGUUUCACGUCAGGGGGGUCCACGAGUCAAUGACAAGGGUGGAGCACCCUCCCGGGGGUAGGGCGCGCCCUCCACCCUUGUGGUUGGCUUGGGACUCUUCUGUUCCAACUCUUUUGCUUCGGGGGCUUCUUCUGGUCCUUAAAAUAUCACCGUAAAAUUUCAGCUCGUUUGGACUCUGUUUGAUAUUUCUUUUCUGUAAAACUGAAAAACAAGGAAAAAACAUAAACUAGCACUGGGCUCUAGGUUAAUAGGUUAGUCCUAAAAAUCAUAUAAAAUAGCAUAUAAAUGCAUAUAAAACAUCAAAGAUAGAUUAUAUAAUAGCAUGGAACAAUAAAAAAUUAUAGAUACGUUGGAGACGUAUCACCUACCUAUAUGUAGUAAGCCGUGUCGUUCUAAGUAAAUUUGUAUGUGCUAUCUCUAAUUUCAAAAUGAAUUUCCUUUUUGUGUGCUCGUACCGCUCAUGAAGCGGCAGGGGUAGGCCAAUAUUUUUCAUGCUAGAUGUGUUAUUCUCAAGAUGAGUGUUUAUUCACUUGUCAUUGCACGAGAGUACGUCGGUAAUAGGGAUGCCCAAUCCCGAAAUGAAAAAGAAAUUUACUUUAUGUUGUCCAAUAAUAAAUUCCUUGGAAAGUGUUGGUAUGGACGAUACCCAUGGAUACGGCUAGCCGUGGACGUGAAAGUAUGGUGGAAAAAGGAAUAAACUUUAUUUUAUAUUUGGGAACCACCUAUGAUAUAUCUAGCAUGGGAAGUGUUGGGAAUUACUUGGGUGUUUUCGUUGACGGGAAAAGUAUACCUCUCAAAAAAUUUAUCUCUCAAAAACAGAAGGGAAAACAAAAUCUACUUAGUGAAGAAAGCAAACAAGCAAACACGAGAAUGUCAACCCCAUGCUAUUGCUUCCCGAUAACGGCGCCAGAAAAGAGCUUGAUAAUCCCCAAGUGCAAGGAAUCAUCAUAGCAAUUUCCAAAGAUGGAGGUGAUAACUAUGGAGUGUCGAACCCACAAGGAGCUAAAGGUAAGAUCAAUAUUCUCUCAGAUCCUAUCUACCACUGAUACGACUCUACGUACACCGAAUGUUUACCAAACAAGAAAUAAAACUAAGUUGUGGGUAUGAAGAGGAUAGCUUUGUAUGAUAUUAGAGAACUAAAGUAUAAAAAUAGGUGAUGUUAACAUAAAGUUAGAAUAUAUUAUAAUAUAUUACAGAUAGCGAGUGUGGAAUAAUGAUGGGUCGGUGUGUGGAAUUGUCCUAGGCAAUUGUUAAUCAUUAAUCAUUAUUGCAAUUUUAUAUGAGGGGGAGGAAUUAGCUAACAUACUUUCUCUACUUGGAUCAUAUGCACUUAUGAUUGGAACUCUAGCAAGCAUCUGCAACUACUAAAGAUCAUUAAGGUAAAAUCCAACCAUAGCAUUAAAGUAUCAAGUCCCCUUUAUCCCAUACGCAACAACCACCUUACUCGGGUUUAAGCUUCUGUCACUCUAGCAACCCACUAUAAGCGAAUCAUGAAUGUAUUGCAACAUCCUACAGCAGGAAUCCUUCACGUGUGCACGGCACGGAAGGCACCAUAGGACAGCACCAAAAUAAAACAUACAACUCAAACCAAUCUAGAUCAUCAAUCAACCCAAAAGACAUAAGAAAUCUACUCACAACAUCAUAGGAUGGCAACACAUCAUUGGAUCAUAAUAUGUGGCAUAAAGCACCAUGUUGAAGUAGGGGAUUACAACGGGGUGCAGGAGUGUGGACCACCGAAAAGAGAUGAGGAAGGUGAUGAAGAUGGUGAUGUUGAUGAAGACAAUCACCGCGGCGAUGAUUCCCCCGGUGGCACUCUAGCGACACUGAGAGAGAGUCUCCCCCUUGUGCUUACUCCUCCAUGGCCUCCCCCUAGAUGUGUAGAGCUUCUCCCUCUGGUCCUUGCCUCCAUGGUGAUGAUGGAACCCUCUGGCUUCCUCCUCCAUGGCCUCCGGAGAGGGCCUAUAUUGUUUUUUCAUGGCUAUAGAGGCUUGCGCCAGCGGAACUUCUGAUCUAGGUUUCUUUCUGGGGGUUUUGUUAUUUAUAGGAAUUUUUGGCGUCCGCCUCACGUCAAGGGGGUCCACGAGGCAGUGGCAAGACAUAAGCACCCUCCCCAGCGGGUAGGGCGUGCCCCCCUACCUCGUCGUCACCUCGGGGCUCUUUUGGCCCAAUUCCGAUGCCUUGGGGUCUCUUUUGGUAAAUUAAAAAAUCACCAUAAAUUUUCAGCCCAUUCCGAGAACUUUUAUUUCUGCACAAUAAACGACACCAAAGUAGUUCUGCUGAAAACAACGUCAGUCCGGGCUUCUAAUCAAAUCAUACCAAAACCAUAUAAAAUUAUUGUAAACAUGGCAUGAAUACUUCAUAAAUUAUAAAUACAUUGGAGACGUAUCAAUCAUUCAGUUUAUUGCUACAGAUCAUGCAAAUCCUGAAUACCGGGGGAAUAACUUGUGUGCUAUCAAAUGUCACAACGUAUCUAGGUGAUCAUAAAGAUGCUCUACAGGUAUCUCCGAAGGUGUUUGCUGAGUUGGCAUGGAUCGAGAUUGGGAUUUGUCACUCCGAGUAUCGGAGAGGUAUCUUUGGGCCCUCUCGGUAAUAAACAUCAUAAUAAGCUUGCAAGCAAAUGACUAAGGAGUUAGUUAUGAGAUGAUGUGUUACGGAACGAGUAAAGAGACUUUCCGGUAACGAGAUAGAACUAGGUAUGAAGAUACCGUUGAUAAAAUCUCGGGCAAGUAACAUACCGAUGGACAAAGGGAAUUACGUAUGUUGCUAUAAGGUUCGACUGAUAAAGAUCUUCGUAGAAUAUGUAGGAUCCAAUAUGAUUAUCCAGGUUCCGCUAUUGUUUAUUGAUCAAAAGGUGUCUCGGUCAUGUCUACAUAGUUCUCGAACCCGUAGGGUCCGCACUCUUAACGUUCCUUGACGAUAUAGUGUUACAUGAGUUAUAUGAUUUGGUGACCGAAUGUUGUUUGGAGUCCCAGAUGACAUCAUGGACAUGACGAGGAGUCUCAAAAUGGUCGAGAGGUAAAGAUUGAUAUAUAUGACGAUGGUAUUCGGACAUUGGAAUAGUUCUGGAGUGCAUCGGGUAGUCAUCGGGUCACUGGAAGGGGUUCCGGACACCCCCGGUAAGUGUACGGGCUUAAUGGGCCAGAGGAGGGGACAAAGCAGCCCACUAGGGGGCUGGUUGUAAUGCCCUCAAUGCGGCUAUAUCUCCUACGUGUUGAAGCACGACUUAGAGGCAUAACCGCAUUGAAAGCAAUGUCGCAAGUAAGGUAAUCUUCACAACAACCCAUGUAAAUAGAUAAAAGGGGAAAGGAUACAUAGUUGGCUUACACUCGCCACGUCACACAAAUACAUGAAUAACAUUACAAUCAUCCAAUACACUCAUGGUCCGACUACGGUACCAAAAUAAAGAUCAACCCCCACAUGCGACAAAGUCCCCGAUCGCCCCAACUGGGCACCACUACUGAUCAUCUGGGAAAGACACAUAGUAACAAUGAGAGUCUUCAUAGAACUCCCACUUGAGCUCAAGCACAUCGUCUGGAGCAGUAUCAUCGGUCCCUGCAUCUGGUUUUGGAAGUAAUCUGUGAGUCACGGGGACUCAGCAAUCUCGCACCCUCACGAUCAAGACUAUUUAAGCUUAUAGGUAAAGGCAAGGUAAUAUGUGGAGCUGCAGCAAGUGACUAGCAUAUAUGGUGGCUAACAUGUUCGCAAAAGAGAGCGAGAAGAGAAGGCAAAGCACGAACGAAGAACUAUGAUCAAGAAGUGAUCCUAGAACAACCUACAUCAAGCAUUACUCCAACACCGUGUUCACUUCCUGGACUCCGCCGAGAAGAGACCAUCACGGUAACACACGCGGUUGAGUCAUUUUAAUUAAGUUAAGUUUCAUGUUAUCUACAAUCAGACAUUAACAAAUUCCCAUCUGCCCAUAACCGUGGGCACAGCUUUCGAAAGUUCAAAUCCCUGCAGGGGAGUCAUAACUUAGCCCAUCACAAGAUCUCAUGGUCAACGAAGGAUAUUCCUUCUAGCGGGAAGACCCGAUCAGGCUCGGAAUCCCGGUUACAAGACAUCCUCGACAAUGGUAAAACUAACCAGCAACACCGCCCGAAUGUGCCGACAAAUCCCGAUAGGAGCUACACAUAUCUCGUUCUCAGGGCACACCAGAUUGUCCAAGGUUCCGGUAGGCCAGCCCAGAGUUGCCCCUGGUGGCCACCGGCAGCUGACAGGCUGGACCAACACUCAGAGGAGCACUGGCCCGGGGGUUUAAAUAAAGAUGACCCUUGAGUCCGCGGAACCCAAGGGAAAAAUAGGCUAGGUGGAGAAUGGUAAAACCAAUGUUGGGCAUUGCUAGAAGAGUUUUAUUCAAGGCGAACUGUCAAGGGGUUCCCAUUAUAACCCAACCGCGUAAGGAACGCAAAAUCCGGGAACAUAACACCGAUAUGAUGGAAACUAGGGCGGCAAGAGUGGAACAAAACACUAGGCAAAAGGCCGAGCCUUCCACCCUUUACCAAGUAUAUAGAUGCAUUAAGAUAACAAGAUAAUAUGGUGAUAUCCCAACAAUAAACAAUGUUCCAACAAGUAACGAUCUCCAAUCUUCAUCUGCAACUAGCAACGCUAUAAGAGGGGCUGAGCAAAGCGGUAACAUAGCCAAUUAACGGUUUGCUAGGACAUGGUGGGUUAGAGGUUUGACAUGGCAAUUUGGGAGGCAUGAUAAGCAAGUGGUAGGUAUUGUAGCAUAGGCAUAGCAAAAGAGCGAGCAUCUAGCAAGCAAAGAUAGAAGUGAUUUCGAGGGUAUGAUCAUCUUACCUGCAAAGUUCUUAGAGUUGACUUGAUCCUCGUAAGCGAACUCAAUGGGCUCCUUGUUCACGAACUCGUCUCCCGGCUCUACCAAACAAGACAAACAAGCAAAAGGAACACAAUCAACCACGUGCAAUGCUCAAACAACAUGAUGCAAACAUGGUAUGCUAUGUGGGAUGCGAUAUGUGAUGCAUAUGCAAGAUUUGACAAGGAAUGAUUGAACAUGGCCUCAACAUGGAAAUCCAAGAGUGCCACUGGAAAGGUGAGGUGGUUUCGGUUGAAAUCGAUAUAAAGAUCACCGGAAUCGGAUGCACGGUUUGGAAAUGGCAAGCAAAACAAAUAUGGCACCGGUCUGCGAUAAUCAGCAAGUAGGCAUGUAAAUGCAUCAAGAUAAAUAUGCUACGGCACUCAAACAUGACAACAAAAUACAUGGCAGGGCUCCACUCAUGAUGCUUGACAAAAGAUGAACACUGAGCUACGGCUAAUUCAUCCAUUAACAUGUUCAAACAAGCAUGGCAAAACUGCAAAUGAUAACAGGUUUCAGACUUGGUGAAAUUAACACAAGUCUGGAAUUUAUCAUCAGGAAGCACACUUUAGAGCAUGAAAACUACAAGCUACAGGAACUUAACAUCGCAAAUCAAGGCAUGGCAUGAAGCCACUCAAAGCACUUAACAAAAGUCCCUUAGUGACCUUGAGCCAAAAGGGAUCAGAAAAUACAAUUACAAGCAUGUGAACAUGGCAAAAACAUAAACAGAUCUCAGACUUGGAGAAAAACUGGAGCAUGAAAAUCAGUUAACGAGUAGGCAUGUUCACGAGCUCGAUGCACUCACUACAGAGCAUGGCAUGACAAACUAAGCAUACACCCAUCAAGAAUACAUGACAUAGAAGCUAUAAAUGGCAAGAACAACAAUAUAGCAUGCACGGAUCAAUAGCAGCAUCCUCGGCAAAAUUGCUAACAGGUCAACAAUCUGCCAGGAUUCACGAUAUAGCAAAAGUAGAGCUCGAUUGGUUCAAGUUAGGGUACUCCAUAAAUGCAAACAAGGACAUGGGUGCAUAGAGCACCACAAUGUUAACAAAUCAUCCUUACUGGUCAUCCUCAAAAGAGGCACGGAUCACUAGGAAACAACAUGAACAUAUGGCAUAACGACAAAAUCAGGACAAGGACUUUGCAAGCUUGUGAUAGUCACCACAAAUAUCACAAAAAUACAUGGUAAGCACCUCUGUAAAGAUGGAAUGGCAUAUAACAAAACUCAUGUAGAGCUCAGGAUCAUAGCAUGCACACAUUAAUCAUGGCAAAAAUGACAAAUAGCUAUUUGAUGAAACAGAUCUGACAAAUUUACCACAUAGCCCUCUUCCUACAGCAUUUCGGGCAUCAAGAUGAGCUCAAAUGAAACUGAUGCAAUGAGGUGAAAUGAUGUACUCGUCGAGUCGAACAUUUUGAUAUGCUACACGCACAAAUCGGAGCUACGGAUGCAGAGUUACAACAUGAUGAAAAUUGCAAAAAAAUAAGGGGAGAGGGGAAAGUUAACCCUAGGGUUUUUGGAUCUGAGAUCUACUAUAGCGGGUAUUGUUCACCAGCGCGUGAACCGAGGAUGAACGUCGCCGGAGCUAAUGGACGCGGCGGCCGGCGUUGACGAGGUCGCCGGAGAGGAGGGUACCGGCCGGAGGACUUGCCAGAGGACGGAUAGGCCAGCGGAGGUGGCGGAGGACGUCAGCGUGGUGGCGCGCGGCGAGCUCGAAGGCGGCCGCAGCGGUCGGCAAUGGUGGCGGCGGUGGUCGGCGCCGGGGCCUGCGGUGGCGGGCAGUGCCAUCGUCGGGGAAGGCGGCGGCGGAGAGGCGAUGCGGCGGCGGGCGCCGAUGGGCCGGGGAGGGCCGGUCGCGGGCUCCCGGGCCGGCGAAGUGGGCACAGGCGGCGGCCAACGGGAGGCGGACAUGUGGCGGCAGCAGAGGUAAGUCGGACGUGUCCGGCGGUGAGGUUUGUGUCCGGCGCGCAAAGAGAGGGAGGGAUCUAGGGUUUGCCCGAAAAUUUCGGGGGUGGACCUAUUUAUAGAGGUAGAGGGAGCUAGGAAGCUCCAAAUGGAGUGCGGUUUUCGGCCACGCGAUCGUGAUCGAACGCUCUAGAUGAUAGAAGGGUUUAGGUGGGUUUUGGGCCAAAUUGAAAGGGUGUUGGGCUGCAACACGAAUGAGGUCUUCUCGGUCCCUCGGUUAACCGUUGGAGUAUCAAACGAAGUCCAAAUGGCACGAAACUUGACAGGCGGUCUACCGGUAGUAAACCAAGGUCGCUUGGCAAGUCUCGGUCCAAUCCAGAAAUGUUUAACCCCCACACACGAAAAGAGGUAGAAAGGACCACCAGAGGAGAUAGGAGCGCCAGAAUGCAAAACAGACAACGGGGAAAAUGCUCGGAUGCAUGAGACGAACACGUAUGCAAAUGCAAUGCACAUGAUGACAUGAUAUGAGAUGCAUGACAAAGGCAACAACACAUGGAGGCAAAAACCCGAACCCGAGGAAAAUAAAAUAACUUAGGCCGGAAACGGCAAGAGUUGGAGUACAGAUAAGGUAAAUUACAUCCGGGGUGUUACACUGGUGCGCCCCUCUACAUGGCCGGCAGGCCCUAGGGGAAGGAAAUGGGAGGGGUGGCCCCUGUUGCCUUUCCCUCCUCGUGAGAGAAAGGAAAGGGGGGCGCAUCCUCCUCUUGCCUUCCUCCCCCACUCAUAUAUGUGUUGGGGAACACAGUAUUUCAAAAAAAUUCCUACAAUCACACAAGAUCUAUCUAGGAGAUGCAUAACAACGAGAGGGGAGAGUGUGUCUACGUACUCUCGUAGACCGAAAGAGGAAGUGUUUAGUAACGCGGUUGAUGUAGUCGAACGUCUUCACGAUCCAACUGAUCCUAGCACCGAACGUACGACACCUCCAUGUUUAGCUCACAUUCAGCAUGAUGACGUCCCUCGAGCUCUUGAUCUAGUUGAGGAAGAUGGAGAAUUCCGUCAGCAUGACGGUGUGGUGACGGUGAUGAUGAAGUUACCGGUGCAGGGCUUCGCCUAAGCACUACGAUGAUAUGACCGAGGUGGUAAACUGUGGAGGGGGGCACCAUACACGGCUAAGAGAUGUCUGUUGUGCCUUUGGGGUGCCGGCCUAGGGGCCGCCAUAAGGGGGGAGUCCUACUUGGACUCCCAGUCCAAGUAGGAUUCGCCCCCCUCCUUCCUUCCAUGGGAGAGGAAAAAGGGGAAGGGAGAGAGGGAGAAGGAAAGAGGGGGGCCGGCCCCCUCCCCUAGUCCAAUUCGGUUUGGGCAAGGGGGGGGGGCUCUCACGUGGCCUUUCUCCUCUCCUCCAAUAAGGCCCACUAGGCUCAAUACUUCUCCCAGGGGGUUCUGGUAACCUCCCGGUACUCCGAAAAAAUGCCCGAACCACUCAGAACCAUUCCAAUGUUCAAAUGCAACCUUCCAAAAUAUGAAUCUUUACCUCUCAACCAUUUCGAGACUCCUCGUCAUGUCCGUGAUAUCAUCCGGGACUCCGAACAAAGUUCGGUCAUCAAGUCACAUAAAUCAUAAUACAAAUCGUCAUCAAACGUUAAGCGUGCGGACCCUACGGGUUCGAGAACUAUGUAGACAUGACCGAGACACAUCUUCGGUCAAUAACCAAUAGCGGAACCUAGAUGCUCAUAUUGUCUCCUACAUAUUCUAUAAAGAUCUUUAUCGGUCAAACCGCAUAACAACAUACGUUAUUCCCUUUGUCACUGGUAUGUUACUUGCUCGAGAUUCGAUCGUCGGUAUCAUCAUACCUAGUUCAAUAUCGUUACCGUCAAGUCUCUUUACUCGUUCUGUAAUGCAUCAUCCAGUAACUAACUCAUUAGUCACAUUGCUAGCAAGUCUCAUAGUGAUGUGCAUUACCGAGAGGGCCCAGAGAUACCUCUGUGAUACACUGAGUGAUAAAUCCUAAUCUCGAUCUAGGCUAACUCAACAAACACCAUCUAAGACACCUAUAGAGCAUCUUUAUAAUCACCCAGUUACAUUGUGAUGUUUGAUAGAACACAAGGUGUUCCUCCGGUACUCAGGAGUUGCAUAAUCUCAUAGUCAGAGGAACAUGUAUAAGUCAUGAAGAAAGCAAUAGCAAUAAAACUAAACGAUCUUUAUGCUAAGCUAACGGAUGGGUCUUUUCCAUCACAUCAUUCUCUAAUAAUGUGAUCCUAUUCAUCAAAUGACAACAAAUGUCUAUGAUCAGGAAAUUUAACCAUCUUUGAUUAACAAGCUAGUCAAGUAGAGGCACACUAGGGACACUCUCUUUGUCUAUGUAUUCACACAUGUACUAAGUUUCCGGUUAAUACAAUUCUAUCAUGAAUAAUAAACAUUUAUCAUGAUAUAAGGAAAUGUAAAUAACAACUUUAUUAUUGCCUCUAGGGCAUACUUCCUUCAGUCUCCCACUUGCACUAGAGUCAAUAAUCUAGAUUAAAUAGUAAUGAUUCUAACACCCAUGGAGUCUUGGUGCUGAUCAUGUUUUGCUCGUGAGAGAGGCUUAGUCAACGGGUCUGCAACAUUCAGAUCCGUAUGUAUCUUGCAAAUCUCUAUGCUCCCUCCUUGACUUGAUCGCGGAUGGAAUUGAAGCGUCUCUUGAUGUGUUUGGUUCUCUUGUGAAAUCUAGAUUCCUUCGCCAAGGCAAUUGCUCCAGUGUUGUCACAAAAGAUUUUCAUUGGACCCGAUGCACUAGGUAUUACACUUAGAUCGGAUAUGAAUUUCUUCAUCCAGACUCAUUCAUUUGUUGCUUCUGAAGCAGCUAUGUACUCCGCUUCACACGUAGAUCCCGCCACGAUGCUCUGCUUGGAACUGCACCAACUGAUAGCUCCACCAUUCAAUAUAAAUACGUAUCUGGUUUGUGACUUAGAGUCAUCGGGAUCGGUGUCAAAGCUUGCAUCGACUUAACCAUUUAUGCCGAGCUCUUUGUAACUCCAUAAAUGAGAAAAAUAUCCUUAGUCCUUUUCAGGUAUUUCAGGAUGUUCUUGACCGCUGUCAAGUGAUCCACUACUAGAUUACUUUGGUACCUCCCUGCUAAACUUAUAGCAAGGCACAAAUCAGGUCUGGUACAUAGCAUUGCAUACAUGAUAGAACCUAUGGUUGAGGCAUAGGGAAUGACUUUCAUUUUCUCUCUAUCUUUUGCAGUGGUCGAACAUUGAGUCUGACUCAACUUCACACCUUGUAACACAGGUAAGAACCCUUUCUUUGACUGAUCCAUUUUGAACUUCUUCAAAACGUUAUCAAGGUAGGUGCUUUGUGAAAGUCCAAUUAAAUGUCUUGAUCUAUCUCUAUAGAUCUUGAUGCCCAAUAUAUAAGUAGCUCCACCAAGGUUUUUCAUUGAAAAAUUCUUAUUCAAGUAUCCUUUUAUGAUAUCCAGAAAUUCUAUAUUAUUUCCAAUCAACAAUAUGUCAUCCACGUAUAAUAUUAGAAAUUCUACAGAGCUCCCACUCACUUUCUUGUAAAUACAGGCUUCUCGAAAAGUCUGUAUAAAACCAUAUGCUUUGAUCACACUAUCAAAGCGUAUAUUCUAACUCCGAGAGGCUUGCACCAGUCCAUAAAUGGAUCGCUAGAGCUUGCAUACUUUGUUAGCACCUUUUGGAUCGACAAACCUUCUGGUUGCAUCAUAUACAACUAUUCUUUAAGAAAUUCAUUAAGGAAUGCAGUUCUGACAUCCAUUUGCCAAAUUUCAUAAUCAUAAAGUGCGGCAAUUACUAACAUGAUUCGGACAGACUUAAGCAUCGCUACGGGUGAGAAGGUCUCAAUGUAGUCAACUCCUUGAACUUGUCGAAAACCUUUCCCAACAAGUCAAGCUUUGUAGAAAGUAAUAUUACCGUCAGCGUCAUUCUUCUUCUUGAAGAUCCAUUUAUUCUCUCUGGCUUGCCGAUCACCGAGCAAGUCAACCAAAGUCCACACUCUGUUCUCAUACAUGGAUCCCAUCUCAAAUUUCAUGGCCUCGAGCCAUUUCGCAGAAUCUGGGCUCAUCAUCGCUUCCUCAUAGUUCAUAGGUUCGUCAUGGUCAAGUAACAUGACCUCCAGAAUAGGAUUACCGUACCACUCUGGUGCGGAUUGUACUCUGGUUGACCUACGAGGUUCGGUAGUAACUUGAUCUGAAGUUUCAUGAUCAUCAUCAUUAGCUUCCUCACUAAUUGGUGUAGGAAUCACUGGAACUAAUUUCUAUGAUGAACCACUUUCCAAUUCGGGAAAAGGUACAAUUACCUCAUCAAGGUCUACUUUCCUCCCACUCACUUCUCUCGAGAGAAACUCCUUCUCUAGAAAGGAUCCAUUCUUAGCAACGAAUAUCUUGCCUUCGGAUCUGUGAUAGAAGGUGUACCCAACAGUCUCCUUUGGGUAUCCUAUGAAGACACAUUUAUCUGAUUUGGGUUCGAGCUUAAUAGGCUGAAGCUUUUUCACAUAAGCAUGUAGCCCCAAACUUUAAGAAACGACAGCUUUUUUUUGAAUGGUCACCGGGGGGAACGAAUCCCCACCUGAAUUUUUUCAUUCAUAGUUGCCUAUGAGGCCUACAGCCUCUACAAGAUGGGUUCAAAUGAACCAGAAUUAACAGGGCUACAUGAUAGAAGAAGGAAAAGAAAACACACACACACACACACACACCAAACAACACAUAAGAGGAAGAGAAGGGAGUCACUCCAAGAACCCUCGGAGACAGCUGAUUGAUGAGAAAGCUCAUCACGACCCAAGCACAGCGAUCACAAGGGUAGAGCUCGCAGGGCAUAACAGCGGGAGGGACAACCCAACUUGAAGCAUCGCCGGAGUAAUCGAACGGCCUUGGUCAACUGAGACCCAGUCUCGACACUGCACCAUCGACGUAAUCGAAAGGCAACGCACAUCCGAGACCACACAACGUGCCGACACCACCUGUGUCAUGGGUGUGGUCGAAGGGUUGCGCGCGGCCGAGAAGACGCCACGACGCCUGUGUGCCACUGCUCGACAGCUUAGGUUUCUUGCCAAACCACAGUUCAUAUGGUGUCAUCUAAACGGAUUUAGAUGGUGCCCUAUUUAACAUGAAUGCAGCCGUAUCUAAAGCAUAACCCCAAAACGAUAGCGCUAAAUCAGUAAGAGACAUCAUAGAUCGCACCGUAUCUAAUAAAGUACGGUUAUGACGUUCAGACACACCAUUACGUUGUGGUGUUCCAGGUGGUGUGAGUUGUGAAACUAUUCCACAUUGUUUCAAAUGAAGACCAAACUCAUAACUCAAAUAUUCACCUCCCCGAUCAGAUCGUGGAAACUUUAUUUUCUUGUUACGAUGAUUUUCCACUUCACUCUGAAAUUCUUUGAACUUUUCAAAUGUUUUAGACUUAUGUUUCAUCAAGUAGAUAUACCCAUAUCUGCUCAAAUCAUCUGUGAAGGUCAAACUGAGGGGAAUUCUUCCUGAGCAUGUCCGUCACUGACCGACGAGUCCACUUCAGUUGGGAGGUGAUUUUCGUCUAUUGUCCUGCGGAUCAUGCUCGCUCUGCUGACUCCCUUGCCGAGCUUACAAAUAAGGUGGAGAGGUGCACCACUCCGGUGGUGGUGGCCGGGGACUUCAACCUCAUUAGGUGGGCUUCUGAUAAAAGCUUGCCUAAUGUUGAUCGGGUCCAGAUGCGUCUAGUUAACGACUGCAUUGCGGACCUUGCGCUCCGUGAGAUAGCCCGCGUAGGGGCUAGGUUUACGUGGACGAAUAAGCAGGCGGACACCAUCCGGAGUGUGUUAGAUCGGGUCUUUGUGUCGGCUCAGUGGGUAGUGAUGUUCCCAUUGUGCUCUCUCAAGGCGGUCACUCGGAUUGGCUCUAAUCAUACCCCCCUGUUUCUCGUCGGGGGAUGAGCCCCCCUAGGACCCGUUGCUUCCACUUUGAGACAUUAUGGCUGGAGCAACCGGGUUUCUUUGAGAUGGUUUGCGACCGCUGGCUAGAGGCAGUCGUGUCCCCACCUCGUGUUUUGUUCUGUGGAUGUCUGGCAUCACUGUGCUAAAUUGUCUCGUCAAGCCAUGAAGGACUGGGGGCGAACCUUGGUGCUGACCUCUGGGCCCGUAAAGGGGCCCUGCUGGAUCAGAUUAAGGUGUUGGAUGACCUUGCUGAUGGGUAGGGCUUGUCUCCUGACGACUAGCUUAGGAGAUACGCCCUUGAGGCCUCGCUCACGGACAUUUACAAGAGUGAGGAGCUGUUCUGGCAGCAUCGAGGGGGCCAGAACUGGCUCCUUAAGGGGGAUGCGAGCACUGCCUACUUUCAGGCGAUUGCUAAUGGCCGCAGGCAGAAUUGUGCCAUCCGUUUCCUUUGGGAUGGAGAUGUUCUUCUGGAAAGCCCAGAGGACAUCUCCACAAAUAUUUACUCCUUCUAUAAGGAGUUGUUCUCAGCUGAUCCGCGCGGAGGCGUCUCUCUCUGCGCUGACUUCUCGCCGCUUGCUGACCAGGUCUUCGAUGCGGAGAAUGCGGAACUUACUCUCCCAUUCUCCCCUAAGGAGGUGGGUCGAGCGAUUGCGUCUAUGAAAGCUUGCUCGGCCCCGGGGCCGGAUGGCCUCCUGGUAGUCUUUUUCUAGAAAUUCUGGGAGUUCUUAUGCCCGGUCAUUAUGCUCAUGUUUCAUGAGUUCUAUAUUGGAACCCUGGACAUGGCUAGGAUUAACCAUGGUGUCAUAUCUAUGAUCCCCAAAGUAGUUGGGGCGACGGAUAUUCGGCACUUUCGCCCCAUCACGGUGAUCAACGUGUUGGAGCGAAUAUUUGUGAAGGUUUGCGCAACUCGCUUAUUCCUAGUGGCGGAAAGGAUUGCUCACCCCCUUCAGUCCGCGUUCCUGAAGGGCCGGCGGAUCCAUGACGGGAUUCUUGCCCUUCACGAGAUCGUCCAUGAGGUGGCGUCGAAGGGGCUUAAGGGGGUCUUCCUCAAAUUGGACUUCCAGAAGGCAUAUGACCGUCUGGACUGGUCCUUUUUGAGGUUGGUGAUGGAGCAUCGAGGAUUUGACGAGAGGUGGUGUUCCUGGAUCAUGCAACUGGUUAGAUCUGGGAACACAGCGAUCAACAUCAAUGGCGAGGUGGGACCCUUUUUCCAGGCCUCCAAAGGGGUAAAGCAAGGGGACCCUGUCUCCCCCUAGCUUUUCAACCCCGCAGUUGAUGCCCUUAUGGGCAUCUUAGAUAAGGCCAAGUUGGCCUGCCAUCUUAAGGGUGUAGUUAGUCACCUCACCCCGGAUGGGGGGUUACUCACUUGCAGUAUGCAGAUGACACCAUGAUUAUGGUGGAAGGCUUGGACUUGGACAUUGUUAAUCUUAAGUUCCUUUUGCUCUACUUUGAGGAAAUGUCUGGACUUAAGAUUAACUUUGAUAAGAGCGAGGUGGUGGUCCUUCGCUAUUCGGAGGCUGAGCAUCUUCGGAUCACGGAUAACCUCAACUGUAGGUUGGCGUCAUUCCCCAUAUCUUACUUGGGGAUGCCCCUGGCUGAGUCCAAGAUUUUGGUGAGUGGGUAUGAUCCGCUUGUGGGACGAGUAGCGUCCUGUGUGGAGCCCUGGUGCGGUAGGUUCACUUCUAAAGGUAGCAAAACUGUCCUCAUUAGCUCUAACCUUGCCAGCCUUCCCAUGUAUAUGAUGGGGAUGUACAUCUUACCCGAUGGUGUGCAUAGCUCCUUUGACAAGGAGCUUGCUAGGUUCUUCUGGAGGGUAGGGGAUGGUCGGCCCAAGUACCAUAUGGUGAAGUGGGCUGACAUUUGCUUGUCGAAGGACCGAGGUGGGUUGGGCAUCCCUACAUCUCGCCGGAUGAACGUUGCGCUUAUGCUGCGUUGGGUUUGGCGGAUCUUGCGGGGAGAUGAGGGGUUGUGGCUGCAGGUGGUUGAGUCCAAGUACUUGCAGGGCCAACCCCUCAUGGCUUGCUCACACUCGGCUGGGUCCCAGUUCUGGAAAUCUAUUUUGGCCAUCAAGGAAUAGAUUAGGCUGGGUUUGCAUUUCUCGGUUGGCAAUGGGUCUGGGACCCAAUUUUGGUUGGACCCAUGGCUUGAGGGCGAGCCUCUCCGCUAACGGUUCCCAAGGCUCUUUGCGAUUUGUGAUGAUCCUGCCAUUCUUGUAUCUGCGACUGCUUUGGAGGAGGGAUGGAACAUUGCGUUUCGCCGCUCAUUUGGACCAGAUGAGGUACGGGAAUGGACAGACCUGAGGGAAGUAGUACCUCUUCCUAUGUCCCAGGACCCUAACACUAUUUCUUGGAGCCUUUCUCCUUCGGAUGAAUUCUCCGUUAGUUCGGCCUAUCAGGCAUUAUGUCAUAUGUCGGCUCUAUAGUGGCUAUCCCUAUUGUGGAAGGCACUGUUGCCCUUGAAGAUUAAGAUUUUUGUAUGGCAGCUCCUCCAUGACCGUCUGCCUUCGGGCACCGAGGUGUUGAAACGCCAUGGUGCGGGAAAUGGACUUUGCCCUCUGUGCCAUGUCCCGGAAACGGGAACACACAUUUUGUUCUCUUGCGUAGCAGCGCAGGCACUUUGGUGCUUUGUUCCUGAGGCUCUAGGGCCAGAGUGGGAGGCUCAUGACCUUGUAGAGUUUUUGCAGGUUAGGGCCACUCAGGUUGGCCGUAAGCGCCGACUGUUCUGGCUCAUCUUCGCGGCUAUGAUGGGGACUCUCUGGACUACUCGCAACAAGAUGGUGAUUGAGCGGGUGUUCCCGCGACGUGCUUCUGACUCGUUCUUCAAAUUUCUUGCCUUCUUGCAGCACUGGCACCCGCUUGCUAGGCUGAGGGAUCGUGAUCGACUUUAGCUAUUCCUGGACGCCCUGGUGUCUACUGCGUGUCGGCUCUCCGACCGCUCGCACGUUUUGUAGCUUGCCCCUGGAGGCCUUUUUGUUUCUUCUUCUUCUUCUUCUUCAUUCAUUUGGGUGUCUUUGUGAUAUGGCCCCAGCAUUUCUCUUUUAUGACUGUGCUUGAGAUGUGGUUGUAUGGACGUAUGCUUUAUCUAUAAAGCGGGGCGAAAGCCUGUUUCAAGAGAAAAUAAUGAUACCCGCCGCUAGCCUCAACACUCAUCGGACCGCAUACAUCAGUAUGUAUUAUUUCCAAGUCAGUUGCUCGCUCCAUUGUUCCGGAGAACGGAGUCUUAGUCAUCUUGCCCAUGAGGCAUGGUUCGCAAGCAUCAAGUGAUUCCAAAACCCCAUCAGCAUGGAGUUUCUUCAUGCACUUUACACCAAUAUGACGUAAACGGCAGUGCCACAAGUAAGUUUCACUAUCAUUAUUAACCUUGCAUCUUUUUGUUGGGGAACGUAGCAGAAAUUCAAAAAUUUUCCUACGUGUCACCAAGAUCUAUCUAUGGAGAGACUAGCAACAAGGGGAAGGAGAGUGCAUCUACAUACCCUUGUAGAUCGCUAAGCGGAAGCGUUCAAGUGAACGGGGUUGAUGGAGUCGUACUCGUCGUGAUUCAGAUCACCGAUGAUCCUAGUGCCGAACGGACGGCACCUCCGCGUUCAACACACGUACAGCUCGACGAUGUCUCCCACACCUUGAUCCAGCAAGGAGAGAGGGAGAGGUUGAGGAAGACUCCAUCCAGCAGCAGCACAACGGCGUGGUGGUGAUGGAGGAGCGUGGCAAUCCUGCAGGGCUUCGCCAAGCACCUACGGGAGAGGAGGAGGUGUCACGGGAGGGAGGGAGGCGCCAAGGGCUCAGGUAUGGAUGCCCUCCCUCCCCUCCACUAUAUAUAGGGGCAGGGGAGAGGGGGGAGGCGCAGCCUUGCCCCUUCCUCCNNNNNNNNNNNNNNNNNNNNNNNNNNNNNNNNNNNNNNNNNNNNNNNNNNNNNNNNNNNNNNNNNNNNNNNNNNNNNNNNNNNNNNNNNNNNNNNNNNNNNNNNNNNNNNNNNNNNNNNNNNNNNNNNNNNNNNNNNNNNNNNNNNNNNNNNNNNNNNNNNNNNNNNNNNNNNNNNNNNNNNNNNNNNNNNNNNNNNNNNNNNNNNNNNNNNNNNNNNNNNNNNNNNNNNNNNNNNNNNNNNNNNNNNNNNNNNNNNNNNNNNNNNNNNNNNNNNNNNNNNNNNNNNNNNNNNNNNNNNNNNNNNNNNNNNNNNNNNNNNNNNNNNNNNNNNNNNNNNNNNNNNNNNNNNNNNNNNNNNNNNNNNNNNNNNNNNNNNNNNNNNNNNNNNNNNNNNNNNNNNNNNNNNNNNNNNNNNNNNNNNNNNNNNNNNNNNNNNNNNNNNNNNNNNNNNNNNNNNNNNNNNNNNNNNNNNNNNNNNNNNNNNNNNNNNNNNNNNNNNNNNNNNNNNNNNNNNNNNNNNNNNNNNNNNNNNNNNNNNNNNNNNNNNNNNNNNNNNNNNNNNNNNNNNNNNNNNNNNNNNNNNNNNNNNNNNNNNNNNNNNNNNNNNNNNNNNNNNNNNNNNNNNNNNNNNNNNNNNNNNNNNNNNNNNNNNNNNNNNNNNNNNNNNNNNNNNNNNNNNNNNNNNNNNNNNNNNNNNNNNNNNNNNNNNNNNNNNNNNNNNNNNNNNNNNNNNNNNNNNNNNNNNNNNNNNNNNNNNNNNNNNNNNNNNNNNNNNNNNNNNNNNNNNNNNNNNNNNNNNNNNNNNNNNNNNNNNNNNNNNNNNNNNNNNNNNNNNNNNNNNNNNNNNNNNNNNNNNNNNNNNNNNNNNNNNNNNNNNNNNNNNNNNNNNNNNNNNNNNNNNNNNNNNNNNNNNNNNNNNNNNNNNNNNNNNNNNNNNNNNNNNNNNNNNNNNNNNNNNNNNNNNNNNNNNNNNNNNNNNNNNNNNNNNNNNAGACAUGACCGAGAUGUUCUCCGGUCAAUAACCAACAGCGGGAUCUGGAUACCCAUGUUGGCUCCCACAUGUUCCACGAUGAUCUCAUCGGAUGAACCACGAUGGCAAGGACUCAAUCAAUCCCGUAUACAAUUCCCUUUGUCUAGCGGUAUGGUACUUGCCCGAGAUUCGAUCGUCGGUAUACCGAUACCUUGUUCAAUCUCGUUACCGGCAAGUCUCUUUACUCGUUCCGUAACACAUCAUCCCGUGAUCAACCCCUUGGUCACAUUGUGCACAUUAUGAUGAUGUCCUACCGAGUGGGCCCAGAGAUACCUCUCCAUUUACACGGAGUGACAAAUCCCAAUCUCGAUUCGUGCCAACCCAACAGACACUUUCAGAGAUACCCGUAGUGUACCUUUAUAGCCACCCAGUUACGUUGUGACGUUUGGCACACCCAAAGCACUCCUACGGUAUCCGGGAGUUGCACAAUCUCAUGGUCUAAGGAAAUGAUACUUGACAUUAGAAAAGCUUUAGCAUACGAACUACAUGAUCUUGUGCUAGGCUUAGGAUUGGGUCUUGUCCAUCACAUCAUUCUCCUAAUGAUGUGAUCCCGUUAUCAACGACAUCCAAUGUCCAUGGUCAGGAAACCGUAACCAUCUAUUGAUUAACGAGCUAGUCAACUAGAGGCUUACUAGGGACAUGGUGUUGUCUAUGUAUCCACACAUGUAUCUGAGUUUCCUAUCAAUACAAUUCUAGCAUGGAUAAUAAACGAUUAUCAUGAACAAGGAAAGAUAAUAAUAAUCAAUUUAUUAUUGCCUCUAGGGCAUAUUUCCAACAGUCUCCCACUUGCACUAGAGUCAAUAAUCUAGUUCACAUCGAUAUGUGAUUAACACUCAAGGUCACAUCCCCAUGUGACUAACACCCAAAGAGUUUACUAGAGUCAAUAAUCUAGUUCACAUUUACCAUGUGAUUAACACUCGAUGAGUUCUGGGUUUGAUCAUGUUAUGCUUGUGAGAGAGGUUAGAGUCAACGGGUCUGAACCUUUCAGAUCCGUGUGUGCUUUACAAAUCUCUAUGUCAUCUCCUAGAUGCAGCUACCACGUUCUAUUUGGAGCUAUUCCAAAUAAUUGUUCUACUUGGAGCUAUUCUAAACUGUUACUCCAUUAUACGUAUCCGGUAUCUCUACUCAGAGCUAUCCGGAUAGGUGUUAAGCUUGCAUCGACGUAACCCUUUACGACGAACUCUUUUACCACCUCCAUAAUUGAGAAAAUUCCUUAGUCCACUAGUUACUAAGGAUAACUUUGACCGCUGUCCUGUGAUCCAUUCUUGGAUCACUCUUGUACCCCUUGACUGACUCAUGGUAAAGCACACUUCAGGUGCGGUACACAGCAUAGCAUACUUGUAGAGCCUAUGUCUUAAGCAUAGGGGACGACCUUCGUUCCUUUCUCUCUAUUCUGCCAUGGUCGAGCUUUAAGUCUUAACUUCAUACCUUACAACUCAGGCAAGAACUCCUUCUUUGACUGAUCCAUCUUGAACACCUUCAAGAUCACGUCAAGGCAUGUGCUCAUUUGAAAGUACUAUUAAGCGUUUUGAUCUAUCCUUAUAGAUCUUGAUGCUCAAUGUUCAAGUAGCUUAAUCCAGGUUUUCCAUUGAAAACACUUUCCAAAUAACCCUAUAUGCUUUCCAGAAAUUCUACGUCAUUUCUGAUCAUUAAUAUGUCAACAACAUAUACUCAUCAGAAAUUCUAUAGUGCUCCCACUCACUUCUUUGGAAAUACAAGUUUCUCAUAAACUUUGUAUACACCCAAAAUCUUUGAUCAUCAUCAAAGCAUACAUUCCAACUCCGAGAUGCUCACUCCAGUCCUCAGAAGGAUUGCUGGAGCUUUGCAUACUUAUUAGCAUAUUUCAGGAUAGACAAAACCUUCCGGUUGUAUCACAUACAACCUUUCCUCAAGAAUCGUCGAGGAAACAAUGUUUUUGACAUCCUAUCUGCAAGAUUUCAUAAAUAAUGCAGUAAUUGCUAAUAUAAUUUCAACAGACUCUUAGCAUCGCUACGAGUGAGAAAGUCUCAUCGUAGUCAACUCCUUGAACUUGUCGAAAAACAUCUUAACGACAAGUCGAGCUUUCUCAAUGGUGACACUUACCAUCAUUGUCUGUCUUCCUUUCAAAAUCCAUCUGCACUCAACAGCCUUACGACCAUCGAGUUGUUCUGCCAAAGUCUACACUUUGUUUUCAUACAUGGAUCCUAUCUCGGAUUUUAUGGCUUCUAACCAUUUGUCGGAAUUUGGGCCCACCAUCGCUUCUCCAUAGCUCGUAGGUUCAUUGUUGUCCAGCAACAUGACUUCCAAGACAGGAUUACUGUACCACUCUGAAGUAGUACGUAUCCUUGUCACCCUACGAGGUUUGGGAGUGACUUGAUCUGAAGUUUCAUGAUCAAUAUCAUAAGCUUCCACUUCAAUUGGUGUACGUGCCACAGGAACAACUUCCUGUGCCCUGCUACACACUUGUUGAAGUGACGGUUCAAUAACCUCAUCAAGUCUCCACCAUCCUCCCACUCAACUCUUUCGAGAGAAACCUUUCCUCGAGAAAGGACCCGAUUCUAGAAACAAUUCAUAUUGCUUUCGGAUCUGAAUUAGGAGGUAUACCCAACUGUUUUGGGUGUCAUAUGAAGAUGUAUUUUAUCCGCUUUGGGUUCGUCACAGCCCCAAACCUUUAAGAAAUGACAACUUAGGUUUCUCCAAACGGUGUCGUCUCAACGGAAUUACGUGGUGCCCUAUUUAAAGUGAAUGUGGUUGUCUCUAAUGCCUAACCCAUGAACGAUAGUGGUAAUUCGAUAAGAGACAUCAUGGUACGCACCAUAUCCAAAAGGGUGCAACCAUGAUGUUCGGACACACCAUCACACUAUGGUGUUCCAGGCGGUAUUAAUUGCGAAACAAUUUCCACAAUGUCUUAAUUGUGUGCCAAAACUCGUAAUUCAGAUAUUCAUCUCUAUGAUCAUAUCAUAGAUAUUUUAUCCUCUUGUCACGACGAUCUUUCAACUUCACCCUGAAAUUACUUGAACCUUUCAAUAAUUUAGACUCAUGAUUCAUCAAGUAAAUGUACUCAACAUCCACUCAAAUUAUCUGUGAAGUAAGAACAUAACAAUAUCCACUACAUGCCUCAUCACUCAUUGGACUGUACACAUCAAAAUGUAUUACUUCCAACAAGUUGCUAUCUUGUUCCAUCUUACUGAAAACGAGGCUUUUCAGUCAUCUUGCCCAUGUGGUAUGAUUUGCAUGUCCCAAGUGAUUUAAAAUCAAGUGAGUCAAAAACGGUCCAUUUGCAUGGAGUUUCUUCAUGCAUAUACACCAAUAGACAUGGUUCGCAUGUCUCAAACUUUUCAAAAACGAGUGAGCCCAAAGAUCCAUCAAUAUGGAGCUUCUUCAUGCGUUUUUUUUACCGAUAUGACUUACGUGGCAGUGCCACAAGUAGGUGGUACUAUCAUUACUAUCUUUUGGCAUGAACAUGUGUAUCACUACGAUCGAGAUUUAAUAAACCAUUCAUUUUAGGUGUAAGACCAUUGAAGGUAUUAUUCAAAUAAACAGAGUAACCAUUAUUCUCCUUAAAUGAAUAACCGUAUUGCGAUAGACGUAAUCCAAUCAUGUCUAUGCUCAACGCAAACACCAAAUAACAAUUAUUUAGGUUCAACACCAAUCUCUUUGGUAGAGGGAGCGUGCGAUGCUUGAUCAUAUCAAGCUUGGAAACACUUCCAACACAUAUCGUCAGCUCACCUUUAGCUAGUCUCCGUUUAUUCCGUAGCCUUUUGUUUCGAGUUACUAACACUUAGCAACCGAACCGGUAUCUAAUACCCUGGUGCUACUAGGAGUACUAGUAAAGUACACAUUAACAUAAUGUAUAUCCAAUAUACUUCUACCGACCUUGCCAGCCUUCUCAUCUACCAAGUAUCUAGGGUAAUUCUGCUCUAGUGGUUGUUCCCCUUAUUACAGAAGCACUUAGUCUCGGGUUUGGGUUUUACCUUGGGUUUCUUCACUAGAGCAGCAGCUGAUUUGCCGUUUCAUGAAGUAUCCCUUCUUGCCCUUGCCCUUCUUGAAACUAGUGGUUUCACCAACCAUCAACAAUUGAUGCUCCUUCUUGAUUUCUACUUUCGCGGUGUCAAACAUCGCGAAUACCUCAAGGAUCAUCAUAUCUAUCCCUGAUAUGUUAUAGUUCAUCACGAAGCUCUAACAGCUUGGUGGCAAUGACUUUGGAGAACCAUCACUGUCUUAUCUGGAAGAUCAACUCCCACUCGAUUCAAAUGAUUGUUGUACUCAGACAAUCUGAGCACAAGCUCAACAAUUGAGCUUUUCUCCUUAGUUUGCAGGUUAAGAAAGUCAUCGGAGGUCUUAUACCUCUUGACAUGGGCACGAGCCUGAAAUCCCAAUUUCAGCCCUCAAAACAUCUCAUAUGUUUCGCGAUGUUUCAAAAACGUCUUUGGUGCCUCAACUCUAAACCGUUUAACUGAACUAUCACGUAGUUAUCAAACGUGUAUGUCAGAUGUUCGCAACAACCACAGACAACGUUCGAGGUUCAGCACACUGAGCGGUGCAUUAAGGACAUAAGCCUUCUAUGAAGCAAUGAGGACAAUCCUCAGUUUACGGACCUAGUCCGCAUAAUUGCUACUCUCAACUUUCAACUAAUUUUUCUCUAGGAACAUAUCUAAACAGUAGAACUAUAGCGUGAGCUACGACAUAAUUUGCAAAAACCUUUUGACUAUGUUCAGGAUAAUUAAGUUCAUCUUAUGAACUCCCACUCAGAUAGACAUCCCUCUAGUCAUCUAAGUGAUUACAUGAUCCGAGUCAAACUAGGCCGUGUCCGAUCAUCACGUGAGACGGACUAGUCAUCAUCGGUGAACAUCUUCAUGUUGAUCGUAUCUUCUAUACGACUCAUGUUCGACCUUUCGGUCUCCGUGUUCCGAGGCCAUGUCUGUACAUGCUAGGCUCGUCAAGUUAACCCUAAGUGUUUCGCGUGUGUAAAUCUGUCUUACACCCGUUGUAUGUGAACGUUAGAAUCUAACACCCGAUCAUCACGUGGUGCUUCGAAACACGAACUGUCGCAACGGUGCACAGUUAGGGGAGAACACUUCUUGAAAUUGUUGUAAGGGAUCGUCUUAUUUACUACCGUCGUUCUAAGCAAAUAAGAUGUAUAAACUUGAUAAACAUCACAUGCAAUCAAAUAGUGACAUGAUAUGGCCAUCAUCACUUUGCUCCUUUUGAUCUCCAUCUUCGGGGCUCCAUGAUCAUCAUCGUCACCGGCAUGACACCAUGAUCUCCAUCAUCAUGAUCUCCAUCAUCGUGUCUUCAUGAAGUUGCCUCGCCAACUAUUACUUCUACUACUAUGGCUAACGAUUAGCAAUAAAGUAAAGUAAUUACAUGACGUUUAAGUUGACACGCAGGUCACAAAUAAAUAAAGACAACUCACAUGGCUCCUGCCGGUUGUCAUACUCAUCGACAUGCAAGUCGUGAUUCCUAUUACAAGAACAUGAUCAAUCUCAUACAUCACAUAUAUCAUUCAUCACAUCCUUUUGGCCGUAUCACAUCACAUAGCAUACCCUGCAAAAACAAGUUAGACGUCCUCUAAUUGUUGUUUGCAUGUUUUACGUGGCUGCUAUGGGUUUCUAGCAAGAACGUUUCUUACCUAUGCAUGAACCACAACGUGAUAUGCCAAUUGCUAUUUACCCUUCAUAAGGACCCUUUUCAUCGAAUCCGAUCCGACUAAAGUGGGAGAGACAGACACCCGCCAGCCACCUUAUGCAACUAGUGCAUGUUUGUCGGUGGAACCGGUCUCACGUAAGCGUACGUGUAAGGUUGGUCCGGGCCGCUUCAUCCCACGAUGCCGCCGAAUCAAGAUAAGACUAGUAACGGCAAGCAUAUUGAACAAUAUCGACGCCCACAACUACUUUGUGUUCUACUCGUGCAAAGAAUCUACGCAAUAGACCUAGCUCAUGAUGCCACUGUUGGGGAACGUAGCAGAAAUUCAAAAAUUUUCCUACGUGUCACCAAGAUCUAUCUAUGGAGAGACUAGCAACGAGGGGAAGGAGAGUGCAUCUACAUACCCUUGUAGAUCGCUAAGCGGAAGCGUUUAAGUGAACGGGGUUGAUGGAGUCGUACUCGUCGUGAUUCAGAUCACCGAUGAUCCUAGUGCCGAACGGACGGCACCUCCGCGUUCAACACACGUACAGCUCGACGAUGUCUCCCACGCCUUGAUCCAGCAAGGAGAGAGGGAGAGGUUGAGGAAGACUCCAUCCAGCAGCAGCACAACGGCGUGGUGGUGAUGGAGGAGCGUGGUAAUCCUGCAGGGCUUCGCCAAGCACCUACGGGAGAGAAGGAGGUGUCACGGGAGGGAGGGAGGCGCCAAGGGCUCAGGUAUGGAUGCCCUCCCUCCCCUCCACUAUAUAUAGGGGCAGGGGAGAGGGGGGAGGCGCAGCCUUGCCCCUUCCUCCAAGGAAGGGGUGCGGCUAAGAGGGGGGGGAGGAGUCCAUCCUCCCCAAGGCACCUCGGAGGUGCCUUCCCCCUUUAGGACUCUCCCCUUUUUCCUAUAUCUUGGCGCAUGGGCCUCUAGGGGCUGGUGCCCUUGGCCCAUGUAGGCCAAGGCGCACCCCCUACAGCCCAUGUGGCCCCCCGGGGCAGGUGGCCCCACCCGGUGGGCCCCCGGGACCCUUCCGGUGGUCCCGGUACAAUACCGAUGACCCCGAAACUUGUCCCGAUGGCCGAAACAGGACUUCCUAUAUAUAAAUCUUUACCUCCGGACCAUUCCGGAACUCCUCGUGACGUCCGGGAUCUCAUCCGGGACUCCGAACAACAUUCGGUAACCACAUACAAACUUCCUUUAUAACCCUAGCGUCAUCGAACCUUAAGUGUGUAGACCCUACGGGUUCGGGAGACAUGCAGACAUGACCGAGAUGUUCUCCGGUCAAUAACCAACAGCGGGAUAUGGAUACCCAUGUUGGCUCCCACAUGUUCCACGAUGAUCUCAUCGGAUGAACCACGAUGUCAAGGACUCAAUCAAUCCCGUAUACAAUUCCCUUUGUCUAGCGGUAUGGUACUUGCCCGAGAUUCGAUCGUCGGUAUACCGAUACCUUGUUCAAUCUCGUUACCGGCAAGUCUCUUUACUCGUUCCGUAACACAUCAUCCCGUGAUCAACCCCUUGGUCACAUUGUGCACAUUAUGAUGAUGUCCUACCGAGUGGGCCCAGAGAUACCUCUCCGUUUACACGGAGUGACAAAAUCCCAAUCUCGAUUCGUGCCAACCCAACAGACACUUUCAGAGAUACCCGUAGUGUACCUUUAUAGCCACCCAGUUACGUUGUGACGUUUGGCACACCCAAAGCACUCCUACGGUAUCCGGGAGUUGCACAAUCUCAUGGUCUAAGGAAAUGAUACUUGACAUUAGAAAAGCUUUAGCAUACAAACUACAUGAUCUUGUGCUAGGCUUAGGAUUGGGUCUUGUCCAUCACAUCAUUCUCCUAAUGAUGUGAUCCCGUUAUCAACGACAUCCAAUGUCCAUGGUCAGGAAACCAUAACCAUCUAUUGAUUAACGAGCUAGUCAACUAGAGGCUUACUAGGGACAUGGUGUUGUCUAUGUAUCCACACAUGUAUCUGAGUUUCCUAUCAAUACAAUUCUAGCAUGGAUAAUAAACGAUUAUCAUGAACAAGGAAAUAUAAUAAUAAUCAAUUUAUUAUUGCCUCUAGGGCAUAUUUCCAACACUUUUGGCUUCAAUAUUGUGAAUAUGUGUAUCACUACAAUCGAGAUUCAAUAAAAAUAGACCACUCAUCAAGGGUUUAUGAGCAUAAAAGAUAUUACUCAUAUAAAUAGAACAACCAUUAUUCUCCGAUUUAAAUGAAUAACCGUCUCGCAUCAAGCAAGAUCCAAAUAUAAUGUUCAUGCUCAACGCUGGCACCAAAUAACAAUUAGUUAGGUCUAAAACUAAUCCCUACAGUAGAUGUAGAGGUAGCGUGCCGAUGGCGAUCACAUCGACUUUGGAACCAUUUCCCACGCGCAUCGUCACCUCGUCCUUAGCCAAUCUUCAUUUAAUCCAUAGCCCAUAUUUCGAGUUGCAAAUAUGAGCAACAGAACCAAUAUCAAAUACCCAGGCGCUACUACGAGCAUUAAUAAGGUACACAUAAAUAACAUGUAUAUCAAAUAUGCCUUUCACUUUGCCAUCCUUCUUAUCCACCAAAUACUUGGGGCAGUUCCGCUUCCAGUGACCAGUCCCUUUGCAGUAGAAGCACUCAGUCUCGGGCUUAGGUCCAGAAUUGGGCUUCUUCACUUGAGCAGCAACUUGCUUGUCGUUCUUCUUGAAGUUCCCCUUCUUCCCUUUGCCCUUUUUCUUGAAACUAGUGGUCUUGUUAACCAUCAACACUUGAUGCUCCUUCUUGAUUUCUACCUCCUUAGCCUUUAGCAUCGCGAAGAGCUCGGGAAUUUUCUUAUCCACCCCUUGCAUAUUAUAGUUCAUCACGGCGCUUUUGUAGCUUGGUGGCAGUGAUUGAAGAACUUUGUCAAUGACACUAUCAUCAGGAAGAUUAACUCCCAGCUGAGUCAAGUGGUUGUGGUACCCAGACAUUCCGAGUAUAUGUUCACUGAUAGAACUAUUCUCCUCCAUUUUGCAGCUAUAGAACUUAUUGGAGACUUCAUAUCUCUCAAUUCGGGCAUUUUCUUGAAAUAUUAACUUCAACUCCUGGAACAUCUCAUAUGCUCCAUGACGUUCAAAACGUCUUUGAAGUCCUGAUUCUAAGCUGUAAAGCAUGGCACACUGAACUAUCGAGUAGUCAUCAGCUUUGCUUUGAUAGACGUUCAUAACAUUUGGAGUUGCUCCUGCAGCGGGUCUUGCACCUAGCGGUGCUUCCAGGAUGUAAUUCUUCUAUGCAACAGUGAGGAUAAUCCUCAAGUUACGGACCCAGUCCGUGUAGUUGCUACCAUCAUCUUUCAACUUAGCUUUCUCUAGGAACGCACUAAAAUUCAAGGGAACGGUAGCAUGGGCCAUUGAUCUACAACAACACAGACAUGCAAAUACUAUCAGGUACUAAGUUCAUGAUAAAUUAAAGUUCAAUUAAUCAUAGUACUUAAGAACUCCCACUUAGAUAGACAUCCCUCUAGUCAUCUAAAUGAUCACGUGAUCCAUAUCAACUAAACCAUGUCUGAUCAUCACGUGAGAUGGAGUAGUUUUCAAUGGUGAACAUCACUAUGUUGAUCAUAUCUACUAUAUGAUUCAUGUUCGACCUUCCGGUCUCAGUGUUCCGAGGCCAUAUCUGCAUAUGCUAGGCUCGUCAAGUUUAACCCGAGUAUUCUGCACGUGCAAAACUGGCUUGCACCCGUUGUAUGUGAACGUAGAGCUUAUCACACCCGAUCAUCUCCUGGUGUCUUGGCAUGACGAACUGCAGCAACAGUGCAUACUCAAGGAGAACACUUGUUCCUUGAAAUUUAGUGAGGGGUCAUCUUAUAAUGCUACCGCCGUACUAAGCAAAAUAAGAUUCAUAAAGGAUAAACAUCACAUGCAAUCAAAAUAUGUGACAUGAUAUGGCCAUCAUCAUCUUGUGCCUUUGAUCUCCAUCUCCAAAGCACUGUCAUGAUCUCCAUCGUCACCAGCUUGACACCUUGAUCUCCAUCGUAGCAUCGUUGUUGUCUCGCCAACUAUUGCUUCCACGACUAUCGCUACCGCUUAGUGAUAAAGUAAAGCACUUACAUGGCGAUUGCAUUUCAUACAAUAAAGCGACAACCAUAAGGCUCAUGCCAGUUGUCGAUAAAUUCCACAAAACAUGAUCAUAUCAUAUAACAAUUUAUAUCUCAUCAAAUCUUGACCAUAUCACAUCACAACAUGCCCUGCAAAAAUAAGUUAGACGUCCUCUACUUUGUUGUUGCAAGUUUUUACGUGGCUGCUACGAUCUUCUAGCAAGAACCGUUCUUACCUACGCAUCAAAACCACAACAAUUUUUCAUCAAGUGUGCUAUUUUAACCUUCAACAAGGACCGGACAUAGUCAAACUCGAUUCAACUAAAGUUGGAGAAACAGACACCUGCCAGCCACCUGUGUGCGAAGCACGUCGGUAGAACCAAUAUCAUGAACGCAAUCAUGUAAUGUCAGCCUAGGCCACUUCAUCCAACAAUACCGCUGAAUCAAAGUAAGACGUUGGUGGUAAGAAGUAUGACUAUUAUCACCCACAACUCUUUGUGUUCUACUCGUGCAUAUAACAUCUACGCAUAGACCUAGCUCUGAUGCCACUGUUGUGGAACGCAAUAUUUCAAAAAAAUUCCUACGAUCACGCAGGAUCUGUCUCGGAGAUGCAUAGAAAUGAGAGGGGAGAGUGUGUCUACGUACCUUCGUAGACCGAAAGCGGAAGUGUUUAGUAAUGCGACUGAUGUAGUCGAACGUCUUCACGAUCCAAUUGAUCCUAGCACCGAACGUACGGCACCUCCGUGUUCAGCACAUGUUUAGCAUGAUGACGUCCCUCGAGCUCUUGAUCUAGUUGAGGACGAGGGAGAGUUCAGUCAGCACGACGAUGUGGUGACGGUGAUGAAAGUUACCGGCGCAGGGCAUCGCCUGAGCACUACGACGAUAUGACCGAGGUGGUAAACUGUGCAGGGGGGCACCACACAUGGCUUAGAGAUGUCUGUUGUGCCUUUGGGGUGCCCCCCGCCUCCAUAUAUAAAUGGGCGAGGAGGAGGUGGCCGGCCUAGCGGGCGCGCCAUAAGGGGGAGUCCUACUUGGACUCCUAGUCCAAGUAGGAUUCGGCCCCCUCCUUCCUUCCACCGGAGAGGGAAAAGGGGAAGGGAGAGAGAGGGAGAAGGAAAGAGGGGGCCCGCCCCCUCCCCUAGUCCAAUUAGGUUUGGGAAAGGGGGGCACCCCUCUCACGUGGCCUUUAUCCUCUCCUCCAAUAAGGCCCAAUAGGCCCAAUACUUCUCCCGGGGGGUUCCGAUAACCUCCCGGUACUCCGGAAAAAUGACCGAACCACUCGGAACCAUUCCGAUGUUCAAAUGCAACCUUCCAAUAUAUGAAUCUUUACCUCUCGACCAUUUCGAGACUCCUCGUUAUGUCCGUAAUCUCAUCUGGGACUCCGAACAAACUUCGGUCAUCAAAUCACAUAACUCAUAAUACAAAUCGUCAUCGAACAUUAAGCGUGCGGACCCUACGGGUUCGAGAACUAUGUAGACAUGACCGAGACACAUCUUCGGUCAAUAACCAAUAGCGGAACCUGGAUACUCAUAUUGGCUCCUACAUAUUCUACGAAGAUCUUUAUCGGUCAAACCGCAUAACAACAUACAUUAUUCCCUUUGUCAUGGGUAUGUUACUUGCCUGAGAUUCGAUCGUCGGUAUCAUCAUACCUAGUUCAAUAUCGUUAUUGGCAAGUCUCUUUACUCGUUCCGUAAUGCAUCAUCCCGUAACUAACUCACUAGCCACAUUGCUUGCAAGGCUCAUAGUGAUGUGCAUUACCGAGAGGGCCGAGAGAUACCUCUUCGAUACACGGAGUAAAAAAUCCUAAUCUCGAUCUAUGCCAACUCAACAAACACCAUCAGAGACACCUGUAGAGCAUCUUUAUAAUCACCCAGUUACGUUGUGAUGUUUGAUAGCACACAAGGUGUUCCUCUGGUAUUCGGGAGUUGCAUAAUCUCAUAGUCAGAGGAACAUGUAUAAGUCAUGAAGAAAGCAAUAUCAAUAAAACUAAAUGAUCAUUAUGCUAAGCUAACGGAUGAGUCUUAUCCAUCACAUCAUUCUCUAAUGAUGUGAUCCCGUUCAUCAAAUGACAACACAUGCCUAUGGUCAAGAAACUUAACCAUCUUUGAAUAACGAGCUAGUCAAGUAGAGGCAUAUUAGUGACACUCUGUUUGUCUAUGUAUUCACACAUGUACUAAGUUUCUGGUUAAUACAAUUCUAGCAUGAAUAAUAAACAUUUAUCAUGAUAUAAGGAAAUACAAAUAACAACUUUAUUAUUGCCUCUAGGGCAUAUUUCCUUCAAUAUGGAAGGGCGGCGGCUUGGAGAAGUCCCCAAGUAGGAUUCGGCCCUACUUGGGGCGCCCCUUGGCCUCUCCCCUCUCCCCCACCUAUAUAUAUGUGGAAGGGGGGCACCUAGCACAACCACAACAUUGUCUUAGACAUGUGCGGCGCCCCCUCCACCGUUUACACCCUCGGUCAUUUUUUCGUAGUGCGUAGGCGAAGCCCUGCGGAGAUAGCAUCUCCAUCACUGUUGCCACGUUGUCGUGCUGUCGGAACUCAUCCACUACCUCGCCGUCUUGAUGGUUCAAGAAGACGUGGACGUCACCGAGCCGAACAUGUGCUGAACGCGGAGGUGUCGUAUGUUCGGUACUCGAUCGUUUGGAUCGCGAAGAAGUUUGACUACAUCAACCGCGUUACUAAACGCUUUCGCUUACGAUCUACAAGGGUACGUAGACAGACUCUCCCCUCUCGUUGCUAUGCAUCUCCAUGGAUAGAUCUUGCAUGUGCAUAUAUUUUUUUUGUUUUCCAUGCAACGUCUUCCAACACCUUGGGGCAUCCAUAAUCUUACUUAGACUACAACUAAACCAUGUCCACUUGUAGGCCAUCGCGGGUUCCACGGUAUAUACCUCGCGGAGCGCAUGCUUCCUCUCCUUCUUGGUGACAUGACUGGCGUAAAUCAUGUUCACGUGCUUCACCUCAGGAGGGAACUAUUUUGGCUGGCGUUGCUUGUCCUGGGCAGUUUCUCAUAUCCAUUUUUAUCGUUAGGACGUUGGAUUCUGGCAUGAUUUUCAGCUAUGAUCUUCCCAGCUUGCUCGAUGACCCAACGGUUCCGGUUGUUGUGGGUCACUAACUUUUCCUGGUUACCAUUGAUGGCGCAGGGCUGGUCCAAGAUUUUAUUCAACUAAGACUUAUCACCUCUACGCCCCUGGAAGGGCUUCCUCGUGUUUCUGCCACCUUAACAUCGGUUGCCGAAACCGGCAUUGACCUUGCCGUCCUCGGCGUUGUUGUUGCUCCUGCUGUGACACUUGCUCCUCCGGUUGCGUUGUUGUUUCCCUUUUCGUCUCACACUUCAGAUGUGCUCGGGUUGUCAUUCCGGCCUUUCUUCUUUAAGAGGCAGUUGUCCUCAUCGACGCAAAAAGUAGACAUCAUUUGCGUGAGAGCGGCCAUGGUCCUAUGCUUGAACUGUCCAAAGUCACUGGACAACCACUCGUCAUUGGUGCUGUUCCAAAAUGCCACUAGGGCUUCUACGUCGUUGUAGUCAACUAUCUGGUUCUUCUUUGUAAGUAAACGGUUCUAGAAUUUUCGCACAGACUCUCUUAGUUUCUGCACCACUAGGGUCGGGGCAUAGAAUUUGGGGGCUUGACAUACGUGCUCUGGAAGUUUGCCAUGAAUUCCUAUGCCAUUUGCAUUUUUAAGAAUUUACAAUCCAUUUGAGUUUCUUUAAAUAUACCUAAUUGCUGGACUGGGUGAAAAAAUGAUGUUGCGGACAUGCAUCCCAUAUCUUUCUGAGAAUUUACAGUCCAUUUCCUUUUUUAGAAAUCCACCCAUUUGCUGGGUUGAAUAGAUCAUUCUUACAAAAAAAACUGGGUUGGGCGAGAUCACUCCAAAACUCGCAGAGAUUCUUCACUAGGUUCCACGAGAUCUGUAGCUGGUUUCCUAACGGGGCCGUGCUCUACAUGGAAUCAUUGGGGAUUGUGUUGGCUGUCACGAAGGAGAAGAAGCGGCGGGUGAUUAGAGACGGAGCCCUUCCGGUUGAGAUAACCUACUGGGUAAUGAUGGAGUCGGAGGGGAUUCGGUGCACCAAGGGCAUUGGAAGGCAUACCUUUCUUGCGUUUUUCACCCGUUGGGUCCGGAGGAUGAUGCCGUGGGGGUGGUCAUGGAGGUGUCGGCGUCGUUGCCAAGGAAUUAGAAGGUGAUGGACGACGAUAAGUUGAAGCCACUAACAGGGAGAAGCUUGUAGGCGACGGUCUUGUAGUUGCCUCGUAGUUCUUCCCGCAUCCCCACUCUCUAAGCAGGCUUGGCGUCCUUCAUCACUCUGCCGACGAGCAGUAGGGGCUACUCCGCUUGGCAGCAACAACCAGAUUAGGUAUUCCGAUCGUUUCUUCUCCUCGUUUCAUCAAUUUGUAUUUAAAUGUACUAACUAAUUCCGCGCUGUUUUGCAGAUUGAUUGAUGAUCUGGUGGAGGCUGCUACUCGUUGGAUGAUGAAGUCAAAGAGCGUCUACAUCAAAUCAUGUAGUUAGCCUGGACAGAUGAUGCCAGUUCUCUGCAAAAUUUAUGCACAAUUAAUUAUGAUGCCAACCCUCAGAAGAAGUUUAUCUAGUUAGCUCAACAGCUGAUACCGGCCUUGCUAGAUUCAUGGUUAUGGUUGAUUAACUAAUGCAUAGGUUAUAUUUAAUUAGUCAUGAUCAAGUAAUGUAUAACAAUGUGUUAUGUUGCUGAACAAGUUAUGUUUAAUUAAUCAUGAUCAAGUUAUGAUGAGUUUUGUGUUGCUGAAGAAGAUGAAAGAAUGUUCAAUUUAUUUGGUAUAUGAUUCAAGGUUGGAGCAUGGUCUUGUUCUUGUCUUAACAUAGGCUUAAAGUGUUCAUAUUUUUCUGAAUUUUGCAACAGAACAUUGUGAUGUUGCUGAUAGAAAAGAUGGCUGAACAUCGCAAUGGCAACAUCAUGUUCAUAUGUUGUUGCUGACUUAUGCAAUUUGUAUCAAGUUUGUAUCAGGUUUUGCUGAAUGGACCAAUUUUAUAUCAAGUUUGUUUUGCUGAAUGGAUCAAUUUUGCUUAGAUGAUCCCUAUGCGUUGCUACAUGAAUCAGUUGCAAUAUAUAUUUGAGAUUUAGUUGUAUAAAACAUAAACAUUGGAUAAAUAAUAUAAGAACAAAAACUAAAAAUACAUAUUAUAUAUUGUAUAUGAUUAUUAUAUAGCUGAAAAAUGUUUAUUGAAUAUAAGUAGCAUAAUACAAUGCAAAAAUCACAUGCAUGUUGAGUGGACCUUUGAUGAGGUGGCAUGUGUGCAUUUUAAAAUAAAUAGAAGUAGUGAUGAUAAACUAAUAACGUAAAUAAAAGCAUGCAUGUUAUGGUGGCCAUUUGAUGAUGUGGCAUGCAUGCAUAUUAAGAUAAUAACGAUAGUGAGGAUAAACUAUUUAGGUAUAUUGGAUUAUGUAUCAAGUUUUUAUUUUAGAAUAGAUCAAUUUUGUAUUGAAGUUUAUAGAAUAGAUCAAUUUUGUAUUGAAGUUUAUAUCAAGUUUCUAAUGUUGCAAAAAUAAUUUUGUACAGCUUUCAUAUUAAAGAAAUUUGAAGAAGUUUGUAUAUUACUAAAUUUUGCUACAUGCCCAAAAACAGUAGUAGUAAAAAAAUGGGGUGCCGGGACUUGAACCCAGUACUUGCAGUUGUUAGCUCUACCUGUGUAACCAAAGAAUUUUAUUUAAGCAGCCCACGUAUAAAAUAUCAGUUUUGCUAUAUCUUAUGUUGAGAUUUGUGUGGAUAUUUUCUUUUUCUUUUUUUUUUUGUACUCUUUAUGCUUCAUUCACUCACUUAGAUGUGCAAUAAGUAGAGUACAUCUAGAUGUGCACUAGACACACACAUACAAUAUAUGUGUGCUUUCCUUAAAAAAAUAUAGAUUCUCCUAUUACCCGUCGAUCAUCUCCCUCCUUUGGCAGCGGAUAGCGCCGUACGAAAUGCAACGAUGCGACAAUACGAUAACACUAUCAUAGCCGAGACCAUAUAUAUGAUUGUAGAUGUCAUGUAUUCGCAUGUAUAAGUAUCGUAUUGUAUUGUUACUCAAGUUUGAUGAUGUUCUUGUUAUGAGCCAGUGAGUUCAAGUACGAUUAAUUUUCUCGCUGGGCUGUGAGGAAACACACGUCAGUGAAAUGCAUCAAUACAAUAGCAAUGCCUGCUCUACAAUCUGAGGCCUCCUUUGGUUUGUAUGUAUUCUAUAGGAUAUAAUUUUAAAAAAACGUUUGGAGCCCUUUGGUUUUUAUGAAUGAAUUCAUAUUCCUACGUAGGACAGAAAUCCAUCCUUCACAUUUUAAAAGACAAAAAAUAUUAGGAUAGACUCAAUGGAAAAAAUAUUAUCAUAUGCUUCAAAUUAUUGUACAUCUCUUUCCUUAUAAAAGUUGAGAUACAUUCAUCUCACUUCGUAUGAGAUUCGUAUCCUAUAAGCAAAAGAAGGCUCGAGAGUAAAUCCUUUGGGCGAAAAAAAAGGAAAAACAAAACAAAACCAGCUUCGUCUCCACCGGGGAUUCUACAAAAAUUCCCUACAAAGCCACUCCAAGCCCUUUGAUUUGACCCGAAAAAGAAAGCCCCCACAGACACAGCACUAUACAUUACAGUACAACAGCGCACCAUCCUACACCACACUGUCUCUCUCUCCAAAGUCGAGAUGUGUACUGCAGUAUUGCCCUCCAGCUUUUUCCUCUCGCUCCCCAUCUCCUUCCCUCUAAUGAUAGCUUAGAGAGAGAAGGAGAAAAGGCUAUUCCGCUCAAGGCAAGGCAGGCAGGUACCCUUCUCCUUCCCCAAACCCAAACCCUUUUUCUCUUUCUCUCCGCCCAAGAACUUCACCUCAAGCUCAAUCCGUCUCCUUUUGCGCAGGAGCUAGCUCGGGGACAGCGUCGCCGGGAGAGCUCGAUCGCUGCACCACUACAUCACUAGAGAUAGCCCAUGGAGGAGAUCGGCCACCACUUCGGGCUGGGAGCCACCGCCCACGGACAGCACCACAGCCAGCUCCCAUGGGGCUCUUCGCCGCUCAGCGCCGUCAUCGCGCCGCCCCCACAGCAACAGCAGCAGCAGCAGUCCGCCGGCUAUCUGGCGCACAGCCCUCUCUCCCUGAACACGGCGCCGCCCAGUGGAAGCCACGGCGGCGGCACCGGGUGUAGCAACCCGGUGCUGCAGCUGGCCAACGGCAGCCUCCUGGAGGCGUGCGCCAAGGCGGCCAAGGAGCCGUCGUCGUCGUCCUACGCCGCCGACGUCGAGGCCAUCAAGGCCAAGAUCAUCUCCCACCCCCACUACUCCUCCCUCCUCGCCGCCUACCUUGACUGCCAGAAGGCAAGUGAUGGUUCUUAGUACUGGUAACAUUAACAGCAGCCCUGCCGUGCUGCAUCUGCUUCUGCUCCUGCACGAGAAGUUUCUCUUCUACAUCUCAUGUCAAACAUGAAGCAUGCAUGCUUUCUUGCUUGCCUUUUAAUAGUAGCUACAGUGCAUCCAUGUUUAUUGUUGGGAAGUACUUGUGCUUAGCCUGGGUGGUCUGUAGGUGGGGGCGCCGCCGGAGGUGUUGGCGAGGCUGACGGCGGUGGCGCAGGACCUGGAGCUGCGACAGCGCACGGCGCUCGGCAGCCUCGGCACCGCGACGGAGCCGGAGCUGGACCAGUUCAUGGUGCGCCAACCGAUAAAUCUUGGAACAUUUUUCCUAGGUUGUGUAGCUAGUACUCACAUGAGGUGACCUGUUCGUUCUUGUUUUUCUGGUGCGCGCGCAGGAGGCGUACCAUGAGAUGCUGGUGAAGUACCGGGAGGAGCUGACGAGGCCGCUGCAGGAGGCCAUGGAGUUCCUGAGGAGGGUGGAGACGCAACUCAACUCCCUCUCCAUCUCCGGCAGAUCGCUGCGCAAUAUCCUUUCCUCCGGUAAAGAAAACAGCUCGCUAGCUAGCUCCUGCAACCACGAAUCAAUCCAUCCAUCCAUACCCCGUCUUGCUGCUUGCUAUUGAUCCCUGCAUGAUUUCUUCAUCUGCUUCUCCCUAUUCUGGUUUCUUCUUCAUCUUCUUGCGCAUCAUAAUUUAUUGACUUCGAUUUAACAGAUUUUUUUGAAUGUGAAAUUUCCUGGGUCCGUAAAAACAAUUCCAUAAUAAAUAUCGUUUUCUCGUGCAUCCUGGUAUAUAUGAUUGUGCCUGCAUCUGCAUGUGCGGAACUGUGCGCACGAAUGGGUAGAGAGUAUUCCUCAUCAGGGUGCUCUUGGUGUUCUAAUGUCGCGGCAUUCCUCGUCAGGGUUUCCCCCCGAAAAGAUUCUUUCCCGGCUUGGCCGCUGGCUUUUCCUGAAGGAGCAUGCGUACUAGAGAUUCUUCUAACCUGGGCAUCCAUGGAUCUUUUCUUCUGCUGGAAAUGAAUAGUCCUCUCCUCUCCAAACACACACGCAUCAGUUUCUUCCAUUCACACACCUUCUCAUCGUACUCCAUGAUUGAUGACAGAUUAACUGCGCAAAAACCAUUGAUUGAUUUCCUCCAGAUCGACGAGUUGGUGGUGUGUUCGGUUCUUGGAAUUUAUGUGGCGUUAGAACGAUUCCUUUUCGGGAGGAGCAUGUGCAUGUGCCUCCGAGUGGUUCUUGCUUCAGCCAUCUUUUCUCCAUGCUGAUGGAAGGAAACCCAGCCAGGCAGGCCAGCCUUCUUCUUCUAGGGUUUUAGGGGGUGCCACUGUGCAGCCCAACAGUGCAAGGCCGAGGAGUCUCACUGCCGUAUGUCAGUGGAGCAAGUACUACCUGUAUACACAUGCAUGUGUAGUGAGUGUUUACUGUGUAGAGAGAGAUAGACGCUCAGCUCAGCUCAGCUCAGUUCAUCCCCCAUCUGUCACGCAAGCCAGAACAACAUUCUUGUCAUCUUUCUCCCUCCCUCAAGAAAUCCAUGCACCUAUCUCUUGUCCUAGAAUCUUUUUGUUCCGGGGUGUGGUCUUCCAGAUGUACAUGCAUGCCUAGAUCAUAGGGUCCGACGUGUGUUCUUAGUCUUUGCUAAAUUUUAUUUUAAAAUGCACAUGUACAGGGUGUGCCAAGGCUAACACGAUGAUGCCAGGGCCUUUCUAAUGACCUAUCACGAGGCUAUAGUGGCAACUGGUACUACUACCCACACACCUGCACAGUCGUUCAGCCCAGGGCUUUCACUCACACGUCUGCUGCCAGCACUGGUACUGGAGUAGUACUAGCUAGUACCAUGCCACACAAUCACUUCAUUAUUGGAGCAUGCGGUGCAGCCAUCUGAUGUGUUGUGUAGAUCAAUAGUAGUGCCUUCAGAUUUCCAUGAAUUAACCCCCCUCAAAGCUCAGGUCAAUCCUGUGCAAAAAAAUAAUUUUUUUGAAAUGGUAUGUUUCAGAUACUAGAUGCAUAGGUAGACAGAUGAGUAAAUAGCAUAUGUGGCUGGGGUUAGUUCUUUGUGUGUGUUCUGAUGGGUUCUGACCAGUUGCAGUGGCAUGGCAUGGACUGCCAGACACUGGUCUAUGUGCCUCGAGAACCAUAGAAACAGUUAAGUGCUGCCAUUAUUUGAUGUGAGAUCUCCAGCAAUUUAUGCGUGAUCUCCUUGGCAGCAAUAUUAUAUGCAUGAUAGGGUGUAGGAGUAGCUAGACUAGAUACCAUGUUGCUGUAUUUUGCGACAGCCUUAUCUAUGGUCUCUCUCUCUCAUGAAUAAUGGCGGUCAAGAGACAUUGGAUGCUUUCCGAGGCGAGUCCAAGUUCAAACCCGUCUGCGUUUUUCAGACGUCAACUCAUAUUUCUCCUCAGCUUCAAUUGUUCUCUGUCCUAUAUACUUCUUGCUAGACUACUGGAGUACUCCACAUAUCUACAUGUGUUCUCCUUUCUUUUCUUUCCUUUUCAGUGUUUCCAAGAGAAUAACAAAAUUGUUUUGGAUAAAACAAGAGAAGGAUAAUGUAGUUUUCUAACAUCACAAGUUGAAGGGCAAAAUGCUAGACUAAUUACCACAACAUAUCUCCUGUUAAUAAAUUGCAUUUACAAAUUAGAUGUAUGGAUUUUUGCUCAUCAGAAAACAACAAAGCUUUCUUUUCUGAUUGAUGUUGCACCCGUCCUCCAAGAUUCUUCGUUGCAUGCAUUCUUUCAAGGCCAUGCAAAAGCAGGGGACACAGAUAUCACGAGUUUCCGUUUGUCUUGAGGUAAGGCCAAAAGAGAUACUGAAAACUUGCCUGGUAGUAAAAAGCAACCAAAAGAAAACAAAAGGGUAAAGGGCUGACUGAGUUUGCAUUGGAAUGUCACUGGAAAAGACAAUGCAACUGGAGAAAAACACACAUGCAUGACUUGACGAUUUGAUGAGAUGCUUUCAUCUGCAUGCAUGCAUGUCUUCGUUAACAAAAUCCUUCAGAUAAUCAGUUGCAUCUCAAUGCAUUGUUUCUGUGGUUUCUACUAGAUCCCAGGUUUAAACCCAAACUUCCCUGGGAAGUAGUUUUUUGGCUGGCAAAUCCAUAAUCAUUUGCUUCCGUUCUUAGCUUUACAAGCUUCAUGCCUUCCCACUGCAUACAAUACCAUGUCCAGGUUCUGUACAGCACAUGCCUUGUUAUAUGUACUCAGCAUUCUUCUGAUUUUAUUUGGUAAUGCAUGUAUGAGGUUUUUCAUAUUUGCCGCUUCAGUUUUCUUUUUUGAAAAGCUGGGUUAUUUGAUAUACUCUAUGCAAUAAUAAAUUGAUGACGUGACUCCUGUGGCAUGGUUUAAUUUAGGGCAUUUUUCCUAUGAUGGUACUACUUAGAUUGUUCCGUUGAGUAAUUAUGGAAAAGCAUAGUAAUCACUAGUUAUCAAUGAUUAUCAGCAAACAAUUCUAUUUAACUUUCAGCAGCAUUGUUUAACACAUUCUGGCACAAGAUUUGAUCAAUCCUCUUGAACUAUAUUACUGCAUAACAUUGUUCCUAUGGAGGAAUAGGAAUACUUCAUAUGAAGCAGAACAUGUUUGUAAAGACAUGUUCUAUACAUAAUCUCCUAAAUGAACUUAUAGAAAAUACAAUUCGUUACUCAAAUUUGAUCACUAAAUAAUACCCAUGAUUUUCACCCACCCUACGUACGCAUCUUAUUUGUACAUGAGUAUUUUAGCAUUUUUUUUCUUCAAAGAGUAGUUAUUCUUCCAUUUCUUUUUAGCAUACCAUCGUGCUUUCUCCAAGUCUUGUAUCCUAAGCUCCUAACCAGUCCAGUAUAGGUACCAUAUGCAUCAGACAUCGAUGCAUCUCAACUUAUACAUGUGCAAAAAGUUGCUUAUCUGUAGUACAAGCAAUACCCAUGCAUCAACAUAACUGAAAUCUGAAGAAAAAUAACAUUACUAACAACAUUGCCUCAUCGUAAGGUGCCACCUCAUCGUAAGGUGCUCACAUAUGCACAUGUACUAUAUUUGCACUAUAUGUAUUGGACAGCAUGAUUUAUUUCUAAUAUAAUGUGGUAAAAUUAUGAGACACGUGUAAUUUAUAUGUAAUGAUUUUCUUUUGCCAGAUUUAUGACAUUAUUUUAAUUUGUUGAAUCCAUAUAAUUUGAUACUCCCUCCAUUCCAAGAUAAUUGAAGUUCUAGGUUUAUCUUAAGUCAACCUUGCUCAAGUUUGACCAACUCUAUAAAAAACUGUGCUAAGAUCGUAUGGAAAUAUAUGCCAUAAAGCAUCGAGACUGAUUUGGUGUUAUAGAUGUUAAUAUAUUUUUCGAUAAACUUGGUCAAACUUAAACGAGGUUAACUUGGGAUAAAUCCAGAACUUCCAUUAUUUUGAAACAGAGGUAGUAUGUCAAAGUUCAUUCAAUAUCUGUGCUUACGAAGUAUCAACUAUCACUGGACACGGGUUUCUUAUGAAUGUUUGUGGAAAGAGGGAAUUCCUUUGAUCCACAUUUGACAAACUAUUAUGGGGUACCNNNNNNNNNNNNNNNNNNNNNNNNNNNNNNNNNNNNNNNNNNNNNNNNNNNNNNNNNNNNNNNNNNNNNNNNNNNNNNNNNNNNNNNNNNNNNNNNNNNNNNNNNNNNNNNNNNNNNNNNNNNNNNNNNNNNNNNNNNNNNNNNNNNNNNNNNNNNNNNNNNNNNNNNNNNNNNNNNNNNNNNNNNNNNNNNNNNNNNNNNNNNNNNNNNNNNNNNNNNNNNNNNNNNNNNNNNNNNNNNNNNNNNNNNNNNNNAAAAAAAGGUUAAAUGGACUUGUUCCAUUUUAUCUUUACUUACUAAUACAUAGCUCCAAAAUGGUGUACAGCUUUCUCAAAAAGAAAAUUGUACCGCUUAACCCUUUUGAAUGGCAUUUUGAACGCUUUAUAAAGGAACUAGGUUUAUUUGGAAAAGCUUACGGGGCUUUACGCACACCUGAGCAUUUUCCAUUAAACUGCUUACACAGUCAUUAGGGUUUCCAUUGCAGGGUAGGGGUUAAGAGAGGAGGGUAGGGUUCCCAAUCAUGUAUAAGGUGUCACACAAAAACCAGCUUUAUAUGUAAUGCUUCUCUCUUCUACUCCCUCCGUAAAGAAAUAUAAGAGUGUUUAGAUCACUUACGGAGGGAGUAACUCUCUUUACUGAACGUAUAUGACUUGCCAUCAUUUGUUAAAAUGAAAAUCCAUAUACUUGGGGAUCAAUCCACACCACAUCUUAAACUUUUUUUUACGAGAAUGCAGCUAGCAAAUAGAUACAUAUAAUUCACAAGCAUAUUACCAACUUAUAUACCGGGGUUAUGAACACAUGAUUAUCUCAUCUUCAUACUGUUAAGCUUCAUGCAUUAGCCAACGCAACCAAAAGUCCGAACUGCUAGAAAGGGCUAGGCAAUCCACAUAUACACUUAUAAGCAUAAAAUUGUUAAGUAAAUAAAUGGAUUACGUACGAUAAAUAUGUAACUUGCUAAUUGCCCAUUACUGAAUUCAUGCAAGAUAAAGUUCCUUGUUAUUUCACUUCUCACAGGUGGAGUGACUAGUUGAUGUUUCUUCACUAAAUCGUGAAGACAUUCUCUCUUUUUGUUCGAAACUGCUAUUUGUUUUAUUUAUUGAUCCUAAUUAAUUGUUUUUCCUGUCUACUACCAUGAGCAACUAACAAUCUGGUUUCAUCCCUUGUUACGUACACCCUCCAUUCACGAAUAUAAGAUGUUCUAACUUUUCGUUAAUUGGAUGUAUAUAGGCAUGUUUUAGUGUGUUUGUUCACCCAUUUCAGUCUGUAUGUAGUGCAUAUUAAAAUAUCCAAAACAUUAUGAAUAGAGGUAGUAUUUAUUUUUUUGCGAAAGAAAUGGAGGUAGUAUUUGUCAAGACAUAAGCUGGAUGUGUCUACAAUCUACAUUGAUCUCUUUUUUGCGAUGAACGAACAUUAUUCUCGCUAUGUAAAAGCGAGUUCAUACCUUGUUUCUUACUUUACUAACAAAUUUCAUUUGAUAUGUGUAAAUUAAGGCUCUUCCGAGGAAGAUCAAGAAGGCAGCGGAGGAGAGACAGAGCUUCCUGAGAUUGAUGCCCACGGCGUGGACCAGGAGCUGAAGCACCAUCUCCUGAAGAAGUACAGUGGGUACCUGAGCUCCCUGAAGCAAGAGCUGUCAAAGAAGAAGAAGAAAGGGAAGCUCCCGAAGGAUGCUCGCCAGCAGCUCCUCAGCUGGUGGGAGAUGCACUACAAGUGGCCUUAUCCCUCGGUAUACAAAUCUUCCAAGUUUCGAAAUAUGUGUAGUCUCACACUUCCAGUAUUGAUACUGAACAUUUCUAGAACUUCUCUUCUCGAUAUAAACUUGACGACUUGCAUUGUCCUACAGGAGAGCCAGAAGGUGGCGCUGGCCGAGUCGACGGGCCUGGACCUGAAGCAGAUCAACAACUGGUUCAUCAACCAGAGGAAGCGCCACUGGAAGCCGUCGGACGAGAUGCAGUUCGUGAUGAUGGACGCGUACCAUCCCCCUAACGCCGCCUUCUACAUGGACGGCCACUUCGUCAACGACAGCGGGCUCUACAGGUUCGGCUAGCUUGGCCAGGCCUCGUCUCUUACUGGUGACCUUGGUCGGUGCCAAUGGCGGCGACCGAGUGCCAUAUGCUGAAGCACUAGGUUACCGACGACCGAAGCUAGUUAAGUUAGCGUUUGUGUGCCGCAUGCGAGCUGGAAGGAGGCCGCAUGCUUAUUUUGUUUAUCAUCACUACUUAUACCUACCUACCUAUCAUUUAUGCAUGGACUCGAUCGCUUUUGUGUGGUUUUGUAGCGAUUGACGCGACCAUAUGGACAACCGCCUGUUUGCUGCGACAUGCCUUGCUACGUGCAUGCUUGAAUAAUUUGCCUUCUCUCUACCUACCUGUGCAUCUUUCUGAAUUUGUUCAUGCCUGCUAAUGAUCG